rnacentral:lncRNA from 1 species
AGUUCAUCAGAUAAGCUUCAGAAUGUCUCAACUCAGGAUAUGAGCUGAAAUUGUUUACCUACCUACAGUUGUUUAAAAAGAUGGACACUGAUUUACCAUCAAGAGAAACAUAUCAACUAUACAUAUAUAAUUGCAAUACAAGCGCAUCCGAUUAUCAACAAAAUCACAUUGUUUGCUGAGUACACAUGUAAUAUACUCACUCAAACACCCAGUACACGCUGCACUCGACUAAUGCCCCUUUUAAGAGUAAUGAAGGGGGUUGAACUUAGAUGCGGAGGAGUAGAAGUGAACAGCUUGUUUUCAAUUGGAUUCACUGGCAUUGGGCUGGCAAAGACAGUAGGUUCCUGCAUAAAAGAACAAUGCAAGUUAGUGAAAAAAAAAAUCAGUUUAAAAAUUUGAAUUUACCAAGUAAAAGCAGCAUACACUUCAACCUGCACAUCAUUGCUUUUACUAGAAGGGUUGUAAUUCUCCUUUGAAGCCAAUGCCAUUACAGGUUCCACCAUGGGGACACUGCUAACAGUUUUCAAUUGACAAGCAAGGGGAUCAAUGUUUUCAGCAUUCCUUUUUGCUGGUACUGGUGUUCUCGUGUGCUGAGAAAGCUCCCUGUUGUUUAUACAAAGAGUAAAUAUGUUCUGAAUUCUUAACCUUCUGGAGGACUCUGUGUCUUCAGGUUUCUGGGGGGAAGAUGCCAAUAACCCUGUAGUAAGAUUGAGACUGGGAAUAUUUCCAUCAGCUAACCCACUUGAACAGACCCUUUUCUCCUCUAUUAUAACCUUCUCUACUUCAUCUUCAGCACUUUCUUUAUGAUCGUCCUCCUUGUCUUAUAACACCAAACCUUCGUCCUGCUAACAAAUUGACCCUUGUUACAAAACACAAGAACGUACGAUAUCAAUAUCAUUAAAUUAAACAAUAAGCACCAUAAGUGCCAAAUUUUGUAGCUACGCUGUUACCGAUCAUGCAAAUCAAAAUGGAAAUUACCGAAGAAUGUAUUAAGAACAAGCUGAAUCCCUCACAAAACGUCCAUAUAUUCACCAUUUAACCAUGACCAACUUUUUCGUUUGAGGCAAAUGAAAAAAAGAGACAGAAAGUUAAAAAGGAUAAAAAUUGAAAGCCGAGGGCAGUAAUUUGGAAGACGACAGCAUUUUUUAUCUCUUUUUAACAAGUAGGCUGGUGGGCCUCUCGUUUGCAUUUUUCCCGGCCAUUGGAGAAUUGAAAUCCCCAUUAAAUAAUAAAAAAAGUAAAAAUAGAAAUACAAUUAAAAAAAAAAAAAAAACAAUCUCCAUGUAACAAACGAUGAUGUCACGAGCUCGCAACACUUGUUGUUAUAAUACCUAUGGUCUCAAACCAACAAAGUGUUGGUUCCACUGGCAAUGGAGUCCCCUUAAGUAGCUUGACUGGGUUUGCUCCCCAGUUCGAGUCGCAGGGAAGUCGCCUUUGUUGGGAGAACCUGUGCCUCCCGGUUCGAGCGGGGACUUCUAGUCUGGGUUGUGGUACGGGCUUAAAGGUGCCUCCCACAGUUGGGGCCCUCCCCAGGAUACCUCGUGAUUAAUAUCAAAAAAAUAAUACCUAUGGUCUCACAAGGCCAAUAUCCUUUUAUUAGUUUGUUUUUCUUCUUAUACAGUCAAUACAAACAUCAAAGUCUAUAAAAUUUAAGAGUUUAAAAUUUCGUCUAACACAAAUCUCUUUAUUUUUUUAGGAUAUGAUCUAAUCUCUUGUGUUAUAAUACAGCUGAAUUUACAUUAGCUAAUUUUCUCCUUAUACCUCAUAUACUUAACUGUUGGAAUUCAUUAAAUAAAGCAAUCAUAUUAUCCAAAUAAAAAGAAAAGUUAAAUUUGUCCAAAGCAGCAUUGGAAAUAAAAUUCCACCUAAAAGACACAUUUCAUCAAGAUUCAUAUAAAAUUCAGUUUUUAAUAAUAACAUAAGUUUUCUAUUGCUUCAACUUCAACCGUUUUGUAUGGAUCAUAAAUGUAUUGUCUAUCAUAAAUGUAUAUUUCACAAUCACUUGCCCUUCAGCAACUUAAGCAACAGACUGAUGUGAGUAGGGAUAGUCGCCACUACACCGCACUGGUCAACUCCCAGUUGAACUUGCAAGCUUGGGUUCGCGUCCCAGUCCCACAGGCAGUGGAAGUAAGUAAUUACCCUAAUCAGCUGAAGUAUCAAAACCUGUGUAUAAGCCUGCAGAUUACAAGUUAAUCAUCAGCAAAGGAGGGGGCUGAAGCAAGAAACAACAUAUCAUGUACUAAUUAUAAAACAUGUAAAAUUAAUGUAUUUUGCCAGUCACAAAACCCGUUUUCUUUAGAGAUAACCACCCCAUAGCAACUAUAAAUAAGGGCACAAAAAUGACCACAAAGUACAACAGUCCCCUCUUUUUUCUCCAAACAAAUACAACCAUUUCAGUUCACAUUGAACCAUUCAAGUUCCAAGUUUCAACCAAUGAAACAACCAUAGUAUUCUAAUAAAAAUGAAAAAUGAAAUAACCAUAGAAUAAAAUAAUUAUACGCUAAUUCAAAUAUUGCUUCAGAAUUUACGAUUUAUGCCAGACUCAGUUGCUCAAACAUAUGGAAUUGGAAUGUUGCAUUUAUUUAACCCAAAAGGUGAAUGCCAAGCUUAAGGUUCUUACAUACUGAAAUGAUCAAAUUUCAUUCAUUCUGAACAUGGGAUGCAACUAGAACUAUUUCAAGUUAUUCCAGAAGAGAGUACUAAAAGAAAUUUUUUCAUCCUACGUGGUAUAAGUAGUAUACUUCAGCUAGUAUUAUGCAUCAUCGGUUAAAUCAUUUGGAUUAUUAACACUGAUAUUUUUUUUAUUAGCUGAAUUGAUAACUGUUGCACCCCUAACUUAAGGGCACGUGUGAUAAGAAAAUUUUAUCUACAUCAGGUGCAAGUAUAAGCAUUUAACAAUUAAGCUGUGACUGUUUGCUUACAAGAACAAACAUAUACUAAUAGAGAUGAAUAAAAACCCAGCACUUCAAGAAAAAUUUGACAAUAUCUCCCCUAAAAUAUGGAUAUUAUCCAAUAUACCAAACCAGCAAUUUUAAUACCCUGCAGCUUAAAACUUCAAAAUAUCAGUCAAUACAACACUUGGGGUCUCCGGGACCCUAUCACUACAACACUAACAAAUACAAGUGCAUCCUCCUGAUGUUGCGUAGUCAUUCUAAAUACAUGUAUUAAAAAGUAUGAUAUCUGCAACAAGGUAGCUUACAAAGUUUACUAGGCCAGCAAUGCCGAAGUACAACCAGAACAAUAACAAAAAUAUACAAAGAUAUAUAUAUUUCUUUAAACCUUUUAAGUUUGAAAGUUUUGGUAUUCAACAGAAACAUCAUAAGACAAGAUCAUAACAACAUACACACUAACAAAUAUAGGGUUGCUCAUACUUUCUGAAGUUACGUGUAAAGAAUCCUAAAAUUACUCUUUCAAUAAUACAAAAUAAAAACAUGCCUGACAAGUCCCCCGGGGCCACCGCCCAUGAUUUCUUUUGCAGACUUUAGAAAUCUGAACAAUAUCAAUUCAGCAUAGCGUACUUUUGAGGCAUUAUUCCCAAGGACCCUCGCCCAUAAUUUCCUUUCCGAGCUUCACUGCAGGACAGUAGUCUGACCAUGACCAAUCAACCUUCUCAAACCUCAAUUUGAAUGAAAGGAAUAAAAAUUAUUAACUCAUUCAAUAGCAUCAAUGUAAGUUUCCUUACAAUAACACACCACAUCCAUGAUAUUUCUCAAUAACAAUAGCCAUAGAUAACAGAAUCUCAGCACAUCCCCAGUUUAACACCACAUCCACAAACUUAAAUGCAAUCAAAGCACCAUAUCAUUGCAGGAUACAUUAACACAAUUCAGCACCACUACAUAUUCCAAACUUGGCUCAUAUCGCCGUAAAGUUCAAUUCUCAUUCAUGACUGCAUCAACCCAAAUUAACUGAUUCAAGUAAUUUCAAUACAUGGUCUUCAAUUAAAACUCGCAAUCCUGUGAUAAUUCUAGCAUGUCAAUUUUUUAUUUUAGCCAUGUAGCCAUGUAAUUAAAUGGCUAACCACACACCCACUGCAUUAAUUCUUAAAGGAAGCAAUUAAGCCAUUAACACAUUAAAUCUAUGGAAAACAACUUAUAAGGACCCAAAAUAAAAAUUCAGAUUAUCAAGCAAGAAAAACAACCUGAUUUUUCAGUUUUGAGUAACAAAAUCACUCAAUUGCAUAUAACCACAUACCUUAAAUCCUGCACCAACAGCUCCUAGCUCUCCAAACACUUCUCUAACUCCACUUCCUACUGGUAAUACUGCAACAAAAAUUAACCAACUAUUCUGCCAAUAAUUUAAGGAUCCCAAAUUCAACACAAUCCUAAACUUGCUGAAAGUUACAGCAAGGAAACAAUUAAGAAAAUUAAGUGAAAAAACAUUCCAUCGAUAAAAGUAAGAAGAUUUCAAAAUUGAACCAUGCAUGCACACAAACUUACCCAAACCAGGUCUAAAGGCCAACAAUGAAAAUUUCACAUUAAAGCAACCAGAAUACCCGAAAAAUAGCUUAAAUUAAAAGUUUUUGACUCGUUCAGAAAGACACCAACAAUUUCCAAAACCUUUUGUUGGACCCCACGUUUAUAAAUUCUCAAAACAACUUCUUCCACCAAUCUGACAACAUCACAGAAAACUGGCAACACCACAUUUAAUUGUCUUUUAAGUUAUAAAAAAGCUUCAAGCUUUGCAGAUGCCAGGAUAUAAUGAGAAACCAAUCAUAGAACAUGUGAUGAGCAAGGGCACAAGCAGAGGAAAGAUCUUCAAUGCCUUAGUGUUCUGGACCUCCAGCAACAUUCAUUUUUAUGCAAUAUUCUUUUUCAAAUUUUUCUAUAUCGCUAAGAUUUAUAUCACUAAAUUUUUCUAUUAAUUCUUCUAAUAUAUUUUUCAUUAUUCUGUAUCACUUGGUACAGGUUCCUUUAUUUCUAAUUUUUCUUUUCCUUUUUCCUUUGUUUUUAAUUCUGCUUUUAAUCUUUCUGAUUCCUCUAAUAUUUUUGGGUAUUGAGUUUUUAUAAACCAAUCAUCAUAACUUCCUGGCUGAGGUUUUGUUAUUUGUUUUUCAAAACUUGUUCCUAUUAUUCCUGAUUUUAUUAUUUCAAGUUUUUCCACCUUUUUAUCUUUUUUCCGAUUUAUCUGUAUUGUAGAUAAUUCUAUUUUUAUUUUUCCUAUUUCUUGUUUAAUUUCUCUCAUCUCUUCUUUAAGAUUUAAAAGUAUUUCUUUUAAUUCAAAUAACGUAGUUUCCAUGAAAGUUAGGGGUAUUGAUGGAUAUUAUUUCUUUUGAGUGUAUGUUACAUUUAAAGUAACAUAGUGCUAGCCUUUUUUUUAUUUUAAAUUUAUAAAUGUAAAAUAUUAAUUUAUAAAGCUGAAUCAGUGUGUACGUAUAGAAAACAGUCAACCUGACCUGACUGCCGAUGAGUUAAAUGGGUCUGCAUUUGGCUGUUAAAUAAUUUGUUCGUUGCUCCUGCAACAGGCCAAUUCUCUAUAUUCAUAUAAAAUUUGAAUGGCUAUUACUGAGUGAGUGUAUAGGGUACUGGAUAAAAAUGAAAAACAGAAUAAAUUUGACACAACAUUUUAUUUAAUAUACCCUUCUCCAUAUCAUAACUAAUUCAACAGCCACUACUUUCUUGGAAAAUCAUAAGUAUUAAAGAAAAAGACAAAAGUAAACAAAUAUAGAAAUAUGGAAAGAAAGCUUUCAAGUCUUUUCAUCAAUAAAGCCGAAAAUAGCAUCUAACCAAAAGCUGAUAUUCACAGACACUGACCAUAUUAAACCAACCAUUUCCAAAACGGAAGAAAAAGAUUUAGAUUCCACCUUAUAAAUAUAGUUAAUGUAAUUAAAAUUAUUAAUUCAAAAUGCUAAUCUGACCAUCACCGACCAACAUUCUCAAACCUCAACUCAAAUUAUUAACUCAUUCAAAUAGCAUCAUAUGUAAGUUGCCUUACAAUAACACAUCACACCCAUGAUGCUUGUCAAUAACAAUAGCUAUAAAUAACAUAAUCUCAGCACAUCCCCAGUUUAACGACCCGUCAACAAACUUAAACUGCACCAUAUCAUUGCAGGAUACUUAAACACAACUCAGCUAAACUACCCAUUCAAAACUUGGCUCAUAUCACUGUUAAAGUUUUAACUCUCGUUCAUGAUUGCAUCAACCCAAAUUAACUAUCAUAACUGAUUCAAGUAAUUUCAAUACAUGGUCUUCAAUUAAAAAUUGCAAUCCUGUUGAUAAUUCUAGCAUGUCAAUUUUUUAUUUUAGCCAUAUAGUCAUGUAAUCAAAUGGCUAACCACACACCCACUUCGUUAAUUAUUAAAGGAAGCAAUUAAGCCAUUAACACAUUAAAUCUAAGCAAAAUAACUUAUGAGGACCCCCCUCCCCCCCCCCCCCCCCCCCCCCCCCCCCCGGCGGAAGCAAAAAAAAAAUUAUCAAGCAGGAAAAACAACCUGAUUUUUCAGUUUUGAGUAACAAAAUCACUCGAUUGCACAUAAUAGCAUUUCUUUUUUCUACUUGCUGCUGUUCUCAGCUCCCUUAGGUGCACAACUACUCUCUCUAAAACCCAAUUGCUCUCUUUCCCUCCAUUUCCUUUUCUUCCUCUUCUCUCUUUUUUAAUUUUUUAUUUUCUUCUGUUACAUGAGUUCCUUUCUCAUCAAUUAGUGUGGAGAAAAACGAAAACAGGAUAAAUUUCGACGCAAAAUUUUAUUAGUAUGCGUAUGUAAGUACAUUAUCGAAUACGCCUUAAACAACUGCCUUUUUUUCCUGCAAUAAUCACACUAUAUAUAACAAAUAAUACAACAAAAUAAUAGAAGUUUAAGUAGAACGGCAGUAUCUAGGUUGUCUCUGUACUCGGCUUCCAGUUCCACCCAAAAAACUGCUCAAACAUCUUCGUUCAGGUAACCAACCACAGACUCUGUUAUUGCCAUAACUAAUUUAUCACAUGACCAUAAUUUCCAGAACACCUUGCGCUUGUUCAAUGGGUUGUUCAACUUGAGGGCGAGCUAGCAGAUGCGCGUUGACAGAGGCGACAGUGAGACGUCGAAGCCAGUUGAAGCAGCGCUCAAACAGAGAAGCUAGCGUUGCAUAACAGAGUGAUAAGAUUAUGAGGCAUAAAUAGAGUACCAAGAACAGAGACGGAGCCAAAAUGACAGAGGCCACUGCUGAGACAGCCAACAGAACAGAGAGUUCUCCACAACUCACGCAAAUGGGUCGGCUCACAUUGAGAGGGACUCUGAUGGGUGUGAGGAGGAAGAGCAGUAAUGGGAUGACGACGGCAGGAAUCAGGAACCAGAACUGAAGCUUUAAAAUUGGAUACAAAAGUAUCUUACUCGUACCAUCUUGGACGUCCCAAGAGUUGCCAUCCUGAGACUUGAGGAACAGAAAAAAGAUUAUAAGAUUCAGCAAUGGAAGAAAUAGAAACCUCAAAUCGAUUGAAAUAUUCAUGCUUAUGAGUAUAAGACUUGGCAGAGAUGAUUGAGUUUAAUUUUUAUGAAUAAGAUUUGGCAAUGGCAGAGUUAAACACAGGCUGCCUUUUGCUUCCUCUCUCUCUUCUCUCCGCUUUUUUUCUCCUCUCUCUCUCUUCUCUCAACACAUGCUUUCUUAGCAUUUAGCAUUUUUGUUUCUAAAAUACGGUGAGUCUGGGGGCAUUUUUAUAGAGGUUUUGGGAUGAAAUCUUUUUGCAGCCAAUGCCAAAAAAAUUAGAGGUUUGGACAAAGUGAAAAAAAAGAAAGAAGUGCAAAGCCAAAUGGAGCCAUGCAUGUGAGAGUGGGACGACCCAAGACAUUUUUUCGAUCCUUUGAGUUAGUGGGAGAAAGAGAUUAGCCUCCUCCGCAUUAAGAUUUGAAGAUUCCGUUGGUUUGACUGAUUCAGCACAUAACAUGCUUAAAUUGCAAAAGCUGUCAAUUCACAUUAACAAGGAAAAUUAACUCAAUAAAGUGAAGUAGGCACGAAUUAGAGUGAUUUUUAAAAUGCGGUGAGUCGGGGGCUUUUUAUCGUGGUUGAGGUCCAUGAGGAUGAAACGUUAUUGGUUCGAUACACGUCUUCAAUAAUAUUUGCGGAACCAAUUAGGAAGAUAAUGGAGUCGGGGAUUUUGGGGCUGAAUUUUUCCCUUUUUUUCUUAAUUUUGUUUUUACUGUGUGUCACGUGCAAAACACGUGAGACUAUUAAAAUUUCAAAACAGUUGUUUCAGUCUUCUAGGGUUUUAAAAACCUCAGUACGUUUUUUUUUUCCUUUUUUCUGUACAGGUAUUUUUAAACUUACCUUUUCAAAGUUUAUAUAUAUUUUGCACACUGCGCACAAAAUAUAUAUGAACGAAUGAUACAUGUUCCAAUAAAUAGAUGCACCUAACAAAUUAGAACUAUUCAUGAGAUGCAAAUUAAGUUAGUGUUAGAGAGAAAUAUACUGAGACUAAACUACAAUUAUGUGUAAUUAAUUAAGCUACCUUUGUUUUCAUGUUAGCGUGACCAAAAUGAGAUUAUGCACAACAAGUAUAACUAUAUGAAACAAAGUGAUAUAAUAAUAAAUGCCAACCAUAUUAUAUGUACAAGUUUUCUGUGCCAAUAUCACUAGUGGCAUGACCAAAAACACCGACAUACACAAUAAUCUCUCAAAGGAAAGAUUGUCAAAUUUCUUCAUUAAAUUCAGAUUAAAGUAAAUUAUAAAUUUUUUAACUUAAUAAAACCCACUUAAUACACACAUAUAAAUAUUAUAUGCUUACAGUACAAUCAUUUUUUGGACUUUCUCUUAUGGGCUAUUUUUUUUUUUUUGGGAUAAAUUUAUGGGCUAUUCAUUAGUUGCUUGGGUUCCUCUAUGAUGUUAUAUUUUUUUUUGCAAUAUCAAUAAUGUAAGAAAUAUGUACCAUUAUUUUUAUUAAUAAAAAUUUAUAUAAUUUCCAAAAAAUUAAAGGUUUGGACAAAAUAAAAAGCGAUUAGAAAAGAAAAUAGAAAAAAAUACAAAGCCAAUGGGACCAAACCUCCAAAGAUAUGUUUUUCCAUUCUCAUCCAACACCUUCCCAUUUGUUUAUUAUUUUUUUAUUAAUUUAUUAACUUUUUUAAUGGGGAGGAGGCUGAUGCCUCCCACUAACUCUUUCUCGAGGAAGCUAAGCUAGCUGCAUAAGUAUCCGCUAAGUUAAUAAAUUAAUAAAAAUAAUAAUAAACAAUUGAGAUGAUCAAAAGUUCAAAAUUUCUUACCAUCGCACAUGCAAGAUGAUCAAUAUUUCCAUCGCUCAGUAUAUGUAUACGUAGGUAGCAUUCACAUUUUAAAUUAGUGUGAGAAUCUUAGAUUAUCUCCAAAAGACUCUUUAAAUAAAAUUAUACUUCUUAUUUGAAGAGUCAUAUCAAUAUUAAAUACUUCAAAAGACACGUUAAUUUAAAUUCUUCAAAUAAGAUUUGUUUCUUUCUCUUCAAUAUUGACGAGUGAAUUUCUCUCUCUUCUAUUAAUAUUUUUUUAUUAUUUAUUGAAAAGAUAAGACUGUAAUAAUUAUUAUUUAUGUUUCCUUUCAAAAACAUAACAGCAAUUCAAUUUAAUAGUAGAAAGAUUUAAUUAAAAUAAUAUUAACUUAUUCUUAUUUGAUGAGUCUUUUGGAAGAAAUUGUAUUUUUCAAUCCACUUAUUUGCCACAUCAGUAAGCAAAUUGAUAUUUGAAAAGUAAAAUCUAAAAAGUCUUUUGGAGAUGCUUUUAGAUUUCAGAGUGUAGAGAGGGGUGGGAGUGAAUUGUUUAUUUUCACUCUGAAAUGAGAGUAUGAAAUCGAAAUUAGAAUUCAAUUUUUGUGUUUUCCUUAUCUUAAAUUGGGAGUAAAUAGUUUCAAAUUACAGUUUUACUUUUAUUUAAAAAAUUAUAAUUUUUAAAUACAAAAUUAUAAAAAAAUAUAUUUGAAAUAUAAAAUAUUUAUUUUUAUUUUAUUUAUUUGUAAAUUUACCUAUGUUUAGAAAAAAAAAAAAAACUAUUAACUGCCCUCAGCAUAUAACAUACAACAAGCUGUCAAUUCACAAAAACAAGGAAAAUUAACUCAAUCAAGUGAAGUAGGCCACAAAAAGACCUCUAAAAUCGAAUCAGAUUUAGUUAAAACAAAUAAUCACCCAUCAAUCAUAAGCAAAAGCCAAAAAGAAAUGAAUAACAGAAAGAAAUUUCUUAUAAAAAUUCAAUACAAAUAAAAAACAAAUUAGCUAGUCUUCUUUUUUGGUAUAGUGAUUUCGUCAGCAAAUAAGACAAAAAUUGAAAUUCCGAAAUAUACCUAGGAUUUCUAGCUUUGGAAAUUUACCUUACAAGAAACCGGGCUCUCUGCUUCUGGCUUUGUCUUUGUAACGUUACUAUUGUGGACGAGCCACUCCGAUCAGCUGAGAUGAUCGCAUUUUGCACCGGCAACGAUGCAAAUGUUUGGGUUUGGAUUUGACGAUAGACGGAGGAAUGCUUAGGGUUUUGUGUGAAUUUUUGGAAUUUUUUAUCGAAGUGAAAAUAUCAAAAUAACCUUUACACAUUUAAUAUUCAGGGUACUUAUACAGUUAAAUUUUUCUUUAGAAUUAAAACAGAAUAUAAACUGAGACUCAGAAUUUUAUUAAUAUACCGUUGUUCGUUUGGACCAUAAUACAAAAACCAAAAUAAAUAAAUAAAUAAGAAUAUAGAGUGUGUCUGCUACUGCUAAAAAUGCUUUUCAAACAAAAGCCGAAAACAGCAACUAAGCUUUUACAGACUAUAUAUAUAUAGAUCAUUGUAAUAACUAACUAGAAAAUGGAAAGUUAGCAUAUAUUCAUAAAACACUCUUAGUUCUACCCUAUGUUAUUUUAUUAGGCAGGGUUUAUUUACGAAAUAAUAUAAUUUUAAACAUUUUAUUGGGUGUAUUUUAUAGCUAAGAUGGGAUGGAAAUAUUACUAAAACACUCGUGGCACUGGCACCAGCAAAAUCAUACACUUUAAUAGGUACUAGGGCCUAACAGUGGCACCAGCUAUUUCAUACAUACAUACGUAUAUAUUCUCAUCUUCAUCAGUUGGACUUGGCUGCAGGUUUUGGAUGUGGUUCCCUUCUACUCCAAUAAUGUUCUCUUCAUCAACUUGAUUCCCGUUCGCACAUGCAGUUGAUCACGAUCAAGAUUGUGCGAGUAAUGGGUGUUAUUACUGUGAGAUUUCGGAGCCAAUGGAAAAUGUUAUUACAGUAUGAUCAAUAUGAAUUGACCAAGAUUCUUUUGCGGGUUGGCGAGAUGCUUUUGGCAAGCCCCACCCAGUCUUUGCCCACUCAUUUUUGUUUAAAUUAAAUUAAGUAAUUAUUUAAUCAACCUAUUGAGUACAAAGGGCAAUUUGACUUGAUUCUCCUUUUGUUGUGGCUAAGACGUAUUGCACAAGCUUCUUCUUCUUCUUCUUCUUUUUCAAGUUGUAUUGCGAGCUCUUAAUAUAAUCACAAACUUUUUUUACAAAUUUAUUAAUUUAUUUUCUUCCUUUUUUUUUUCUUUUCUUUUCUUUCUCUCUCUCUCUCUCUCUCCCGGGACUGGGGAGCUUGGGUUUUAUUUAGUUUUAUAGCCUAUAGAUAUAAUAUUGAGUAGUGAUAGGUUUUGACCUUGAGUGCUAAUCAGUGGGGAUCAAUAUUAAUUAAUCAAGAAUCUUUACAAAAAGCAUCGACUCCCAUUGGUUCCUCGGGUUGGGGAAGUGCUUUUGACAAGCCUCGCCGAGUCUCCGCGACUCCGCCCACUAAUUUUUGUUUAAAUGAAAUUAAGUAAUUAUUUAAUUAACCUAUUGAGUACAAAAGACAACUGGAUUCUCCUAUGUUGUGACUAGGUUGUGUUGCACGAGCUUAGCUUAACUUUAAUGACUCUAAUUUAUAAACAGAUGCUAGUAACAAUAAUAUAUUACUUUCCAAUUCGAAGUGGAGCCUUCGAAGGCAACAGCUUUUUCAAUUUUAUAAUUAUAUACUCUCAAAAUAAUUUUGAUAAAAAAACAGGUUGCUUUUAUAUACUGUUGAUGACAAGCGUUGUGCCGUCUUCUUCGUUGAGAAGAAUUGGACCGUAUUGCAAUGCCUUCUGGUUUUCUCUUUCCAAGUUCAACUUCUUUGUCGACAAUAAUUCUUACAGAACAAAAACGAAAAAAAAAAAUCAAAUAUAGCGUUAGGGCUUCAAGGGAUUCUCCAUGGAGUGAUCUUUAAAUAAAAAACAAGCGCCACCCUCCGUUUGAUUUCUCCUGAAGAAAAGAUUUGAUCGAUUUUUUCUUUCUUUUUCACCUUUACUCUUUUUUAAAAAAAUUUCUUUCUUUGCUUAAAAAAUGUUUUGCCUACAGCUGGAACCGAACAUUUAAAAUUUAAAGAGUGCAUGUUAAGGUAUUAAUUUUUAUUACCUUGUAAUCUAGUGAUGGCAGACAUAUUAAUUCAUGAAAUCGAAGAAUCUUGUGGAAUAUUGACUUGUGGAUUUGAUCCUGAUCCGGUGGCUUAUUGGGAAAUAUCUGAAGUUGUUUGGUCCACUAAUCUUAGCUUUAGGAUAAGUAGUGAAAAUUUCUUCUUCGGUCAUGAAUUAAGAUCCAAUCAUAUAGCAUAUUCGAUCUGACUGUACCAUAAGCAUAUGUGUGUGUGUAUUAAUGACUGGAGUUCAGUUAAUGACUGCAAACUCAGCAACCGAUUCCAAGAAUGAGCUUUGAAAGAAUCCCAAUUUGUCAAAAUGUGACUGUUGAGAAGUUUCUUUUGAGUAGAUUAACCGAGAAGACCGUAGGCAAUUACCUGUAUACAUCUAUUUAUUGAAACUUUAAUUACCUGAGGAUUAACGGAAAAAUGAAUAUACAUUGCAUUUAUAAAUAAUCGUUUUCCCUCUGAUAACUUGAAAAAUACAAUAAUUUAAUCCAUUGUCUAUUUGUAAUAAAUAAUCUAUUUUCUAAAUACGUACGGCGUUGUGGAAAGUUGAACCGUAUUAUUUUAUGCAAUUAACCCAAUACAUCAAAAUACAUAUAUAAAACAUGUGGACACUAUUUUAAGAGAUUGAUUGAGAAAUUUGGUAUAAUUUUAGGCAAUUAAAUAAAUAUUUUUGAAAUUUACAUGUGUUUUGGGAGAUAAUUGUUGUGUAAAUCAGUGCUCGCGCAUGUAUAAAAUUAAUCUCCAUUACCUGGGAAGUUUCUUGGGGUGACACAAGUGGAUAUACACUAUUCGUGAUGUGCAAGACAACAUGAUGAACAGUGAACUCGAAACUCAAAGUGAUACAAGUCGUUUAGAGGUUACAAGCUCAGAUGACAUGUCGCUUGAGGAGUUCUUCAGAGCAAAACCGACAUAAACUCAUUCAUCACUCAAAACUUAAGUAAUACAUGUGGUUUGCACGUGUGUUAAAGCUGAAUCUCAUUUAGAUCAAGAACGACGUCUGUGAUUGCCGUUUUAAGCUCACUUAUGUUAGCUUGUGAUAUGCAUGUGAGAGAGGAGCAUCUUGGUUGGAUUUGGCAGGAAGGGUGGUUAGCCUAACAACCCAAAAACAGAGGUUAAAAGGUGCAAGCUCUGCAAUCAUCUCCAUUAUUGGGAAACACUGAGAGUAGAGAGAAGAUAGAGAGAGAAAUGGGUUAAUUAGUUAUUGUUCUCUGUAAACCAUCUUUUGUUCUUGUAUUGUUUCGAUCUCAUUAAAGUGAAAGUUAUUGCUUUGUUUCCAGUGGAUGUAGGCACCACUUCUUGGUGCUGAACCACUUAUAUUUGGUGUCAUUUUGUUUCUUUUAAAGCUUUGAUUCUUGUGUGUGAUUCUUGUUGUGUGAUAUGUGUUGAUUGGUCUUGGAUCCUUGAUACAAAAUUACUUCUUGGGGUGAAUUUGGUUAGCCUUAUAAGGUUAAAUUCUCAACACAGCAUUAUCAGGAAAACAUGAGAAAUUUUAGAAUACCUCAGAUGUACUACAACCAAUUGAUGCAUGCAUGACAUGUGUAAUUGAUUUUAAUACAAUCACUACUUGCAUGAUAGUGGUUCAAAAUAAAUGCACACAUGUCAUGACAUCAUUGCUUAUUGUAUGGAUGACAUGAUACCUCAUAUGUAUUUUAGAAUUUCUCGGAAAACAGAUAUGCCAAUUAGUAAUCUUGUGUGUGUAAGAUUUCAAGAUAGUUUCAUGUAGAAUUUAAUGGUUAUGUGUUUCUUCGGCUCCUUCCUCAAAUCCAGCACAAUGGCAUAGUCACAUGCAUGAAGAUUUUGGAGUCUUUGGCUGCACAAUUUUUCUGGACUUUAAUUUGAAUUAGUUAUUGGCUUUUUUAUAUUGCUCUUUAAUCGGCUUUUUCAGAUUAAAUAUUUCUGUAUUAGUUUUCGAUUAACAUAGUCCUGGCCUCCUGGGAAGUUAUGGUACUAAUCAGAUUCUUUUGUCAACAUUUGACAAUUUCUUUUUCAAAGCUUGAGUUUUGAGGGUUUAUAGCUUUGAGUUGUGGAAUCAAUGAAAGAAGAAAUUAAUGUAAGAAGAAUAAUUAAAUGGGUACUCUCUUAGCCCCUUUAUCUGGUUAUAUAAAGAUUUUUUAAUACAUUUUUGGUGUGGCUAGUUAUGCUUGAAGUUGUUCUACAGUGUCUCGCUUGAAAAGUCCGAUACAAAAAAUUAAAAAGAAUCAUCUUCAUCAAUUUAGUAGAAAGCGACAGUUUGACAACUUAUUAUUAUAUUCUCCAAAUGCAAAUAAAAUUUGCCGCCUAAAUAAAAGUGGCAGCAAACUGCUUUUUUUUUUUAAUAUUAAGAAAAGACCUUACCCCUUCAGCACAUUCAUCUUUUAAACCGUAAGUAAUCAUCCUAGAGGAUGCAUCGUGGGACCUUCGCUGAUCGCUGAGUGUAUUGACUCAAAAAAGAACUCUUAAAUUCAUUACAGGUUUCAUAAGAUCAAAGCUGAGGGUAGAUUAAUUGAACAUAUAAACUAAGCUUGCUGUGACUAUUAAAAAUAUGUUCAUGACAUUAUACUCACAGAAAUUUAUUAAGGCAGUCAUAAUUUUGCCAUUUAUGUAUAGAAUAUUGAAAAUUAUUGAAUUUCAUUUAAAAAAAGGGUUAAAUUAUAGAAUUUCAUUUCAAAAAAAGUCAAAUUAAACUUAUCAUAAAACAACCUUAACUAUCAAUCCAAGAUCUAAGUGACUAAAAAAAGAUUAUGAGAAUAAUUUAAAUGAUUAAUUAUCAAUUCUUUUUUAUAUGUAAAAUUGGUAUUGUACAAGUUAAUUAUAAUUAACUAACGGAAAUGUAGUAAAAUAUAGGGUUUAUUAGAGAUAUUUAACAAUUCCUAAAGUAUUAUGGUAUAAAAUGUUAUACCCUAAUAUUUCAUGCACCGAUUUAUUUUACAAUUUCUAAAAUAGUAAAAUGAAUAUAACGCAUAAAAUUAAUUAAAUUAUUAACAUAGCUUCUGUCCUUUAUAGUAAUUUCAUUAGAUGUUUCAUGAGAUCAAAGUUUUGAGGGUGAACUAGUCAAAGAAAAUGGUUGUGGAUGGUUAUAACAUUUGACCAAAAAUAAUAUUAUUAUUUGGUUGGAGCCAUAGUAGGGUAGGCCCAGUCCCAGUCCCUUGCGCCCGCUCCGGUAAUUGGCAAGACAGUCUGCCAUGCAAGCAAGCGAAGGAGGAAAAUGUGAGGUAUUUUUACAUCACUUGCCAAAUGUGUAAUAUUUGCUUACUUGGACUUCAAAGUCAGUAGUUUAAUGAAAUUGGAACAUUUUCGAGAUUUAGGAUUGUCUCCUAACCUUAUCUUCUUUUGAGUAAAUUUUAUUAAUAUGAUUGGUGGUUAAUAAAUUAAAAAAUAAAGGUAGUUAAUAGAUAUUAAGUAGGUUAUUGGGUAACAAUUAUUUUUCUGUAUUGGAUUUGAGUCUUAAUAUUUUGACACGAUUAGUAAAUGGGUUAAAUUUGGGUUAAACUAAAUUUGACACAACACGAACAUGAUCUAAUAACCCGUUUUGCUAGCUUUAGCCAUAAGAUGUGAAUUUUGCUAAGGAUAUUAUCUCAAACAGGAGGGAAAUAGUAACUAGGGUAACAAUAUAAACAUGAGGAAUUUUCUAUUUUUGAAGUAGUUCUUGGGUUGAAUUAGACCGUGGGUUUCUAAAGUCUAAAAAUCCCAAUAAAUUCAGCCCCACAUACAAAGGCUUACCAAAUUCAAAGAAUUUUUAUGAGUGAUUGUCGUGUAAAUGAGUGAUUGCAGACGUACAAAAUGAUCUCUAUUAACUGGGAAAUUUCUUGAAGUGACACAAGUGGAUAUAAUAUUAUAUUAUUCAUGAUGUGCAAGACAAAAUUAUCGAGAAAACAGAUGUGCCAGUUAAUAAUGAAGAACUAGCAGUUGAAGAUGACCAAAGAAUUUUUAUGUGUGUGAGAUUUCAAAGAUAAUUUCAUGCAGAAUUUAAUGGUUAUGUGUUUCUUUGGUUCCUUACCCAAAUCCAGCACAAUGGCAUAGUCACAUGCAUGAAGAUUUUGGAGUCUUUGGCUGCACAAUUUUUCUAGACUUUAAUUUGCAUUAAUUAUUGGCUUUUUUUUUUGUAUUGCUCUUUAAUCGGCUCUUUCAGACAAAAUAUUUAUGUAUUAGUUUUCGAUUAACAUAGUCCUGCCUUCUGGGAAGUUAUGAUACUAAUCAGAUUCUUUUAUAUAAUGUCAACAUUUGAUUCUCAUUUUGGCUCCAUCACUUUUCUUGGUGGCCUAUUUGCGGUUCACAAUCUUAACAUUCUGUUAUGCCGUGUUAGCUUCUCUGUUUAAGCUCUGCUUCAACUUGUUUCGACGUUUCGCUGUCAUGGUUUCGUUCACUAAUUAUUUUCAAUAAACCAAUUAAUUAAUAUAUAUAUAUAUACAUGUUGUCGUCGUUUCUAUGAAAGUUUAAGCAGCUAGCAGUUUCUGGAGUCAGUUCAGUCAAAGACUCGAAGCCUAGCAGCGAUCGAUUAAAGAUGCUGUGGUUGCUUUAGUAUUUUUCUAAUUUAAUUAGAAAUCUGCUGUAUAAUAAUUUCUAACCAGCAGCCAUGGAAAGUUGCAAACAACAAUAUAUCUAUAAAAGCUGUUACAGAUUUAAUGCCCCGGGUAUAUAAACGGUUAUUUUUCCUUUAGCAUAAAAAUUUAGACACAGAAUUUAAUCAAAUAUACCGUUGAUCAUUUGAACAGUAAUGCCAAAAAAAAGGAAAAAAAAAAAAGAAUCUAGCGUGCUUUUCAAACAAACGCCGAAGGUAGCAACGAAGCUUUCACAGCAAAACUGCUAAAACUUGGUCGGGUAACAACAGACUAAUGUUAUUUUAUUAGGCACUAGGACCCUACGGUGGCACCAGCAACAUCAUAUAUAUAUAUAUUCUCAUCGUCAUCAUCAGUUGGACUUGGCUGCAGGUUUUGGAUGUGGUUCCCUUCUGCUUCAAUAAUGUUCUCUUCAUCAACUUGAUUCCCGUUCGCGCAUGCAGUUGAUCGCGAUCAAGAUUGUGCGAUUAAUGGAUGUUGUUACUGUGAGAUUUCGGAGCCAAUGGAAAAUGUUAUUACAGUAUGAUCAAUAUGAAUUGAUCAAGAUUCUUCUGCGGGUUGGCGAGAUGCUUUUGGCAAGCCCCACCUAGUCUUUGCCCACUAAUUUUUGUUUAAAUGAAAUUAAGUAAUUAUUUAAUUAAUAUAUUGAGUACAAAGGGCAAUUUAAUUCUCCUUUGUUGUGGCUAAGAUGUAUUGCACGAGCUUAUCUUAACUUUAAUGACUGUAAUUUAUAAAAUUAAUUAUAACCUAAGCAAACGUGGACAAGGGAUUUGUGGUUAUGUAUAUUUCAGUUUUUUUUUUAAAUCAAAGAAAAUCUCAAAUAAUUUAUAAGGAUUUUAUCUUUGAAGAAUGAUAAACUCUUAUCUAUAUAAAAAAAGAGAUUUUAUGGUGAAUUAAAAAGUUUGUUAAUGCUAAAACAAAAAGAGGGUUUAAAAUUAGAGAAUAAUGAGUUUAUAAUUAUGUUCGUAUUUUGAGAAUACUAAAUAAAACGUGAAAAUCAUUUAUAGUUAUUCCUGAAUUUAUAGAAAUACAAAUAAAAUAUUAAUUGUGGAAUUAAAAAUGAGUUCAUUUAUAACUGAUAUGGGGUUUAUAUAAUUUCAAGUGCGAUAAUAUAAUCACAGACUCCCAAACUUAUUAAUUUAUUUUCUUCCUUUUUUUAUUCUUUCUUUCUCUCUGCCGGCACUCGGGAGCUUUGGUUUUAAUUAGUUUUAUAGCCUAUAGAUAUAAUAUUGUGUAGUGACAUGUUUUGACCUUGAGUGCUAAUCAGUGGGGAUCAGUAUUUAAUUAAUCAAGAAUCUUUACAAAAAGCAUCGACUCCCAUUGGUUCCUCGGGUUGGGGAAGUGCUUUUGUCAAGCCCCACCGAGUCUCCGCGACUCCGCCCACUAAUUUUUGUUUAAAUGAAAUUAAGUAAUUAUUUAAUUAACCUAUUGAGUACAAAGGACAACUGGAUUCCCCUAUGUUGUCGCUAGGUUGUGUUGCACGAGCUUAGCUUAACUUUAAUGACUCUAAUUUAUAAACAGAUGCGAGUAACAAUAAUAUAUUACUUUCCAAUUUGAAGUGGAGUCUUCGAAGGCAACUGCUUUCUCAAUUUUAUAACUAUGUACUCUCAAAAUAAUUUUGAUACAAAAACAGGUUGCUUUUAUGUACUGUUGAUGACAAGCCUCGUGCCGUCUUCUUCGUUGAGAAGAAUUGGAACGUAUUGCAAUGUCUCUGGUUUUCUCUAUCUGAGUUCAAUUGAAGUUUAACCAAGCUAUUUAUGCUUGUUUGGUUGCAGAGAAAAUGAAGGAAAAUUCAAUGAGCAAUAAGAAACUAUGAGAAAAAAUAGAUCGAAUUUUAUUCAAUGAAUUAUGAAUACAGAGGUUGAUCUUAUAUACUAAGAUCCAGAACCUUUUGCAUUGCUCACACACGUGUUGAGAGUGAGCUGUGAUUAACAAACUUCUCAGCUCUAUAACAAACUUACAAACUAACAAAUAACAACCUUGCUUACUCAGCUGCCACAUCAGCAGAAUCAUUACAAAAAUAUUCUUUAUAUUAUAACUCUAACAUCCCCCCUCAAGCUUGAUGUCGUGAAAGGACAUUAAGCUUGCUGCGCAAAUAAGCAAACUGAUCAAAACAGAGGGGCUUAGUAAGAACAUCUGCUAAUUGAUCUGAACUGGGAACAUAAGUAACUGAAAGCUGUUGUUGAGCAAUAUGCUCUCUGAGAAAAUGGAGGUCAAGCUCAAUAUGUUUAGUACGAGCAUGAUAUUUAGGAUUACUGGCCAAAGCUUCAGCACUCUUGUUAUCACAAUGCAGAAGAGGAAUCUAAUCAAAAGAUAUGUUAAGCUCUUGAAAUAAGUAUGUAAUCCAGAGAACUUCAGAGGUAGCCAUAGCAAGAGCUCUAUACUCUGACUCAGCUGAUGAUCUGGACACAAUAGGCUGCUUCUUAGAGGACCAAGAGAUGAGAUUGGAACCUAAAAACACACAAUAACCUCCAACAGAUCUGCGAUCAUCAGGAUCUGCUCCCCAAUCAGCAUCAGAGUAGGCAGUUAACUUUAAAGAACCAGAACUGAAAAACUGAAGACCAUAAUCAGCUGUACUUUGAAGAUACCGUAACACCCUCUUGCAAGCUUGCCAAUGAAGAAUGGUGGGAGCUGAUAAAAAUUGACUAAGCUUGUUGACUGUGAAAGCUAAGUCUGGUCGAGUUAACAGAACAUAUUGAAGAGAUCCCACAAUGCUUCUGUAUAAAGAUGGAUUUUCAAAUGCAGCACCUGUAUCCUUGUGCAGCUUCUCAGAAGUACUCAUAGGUAUAACACAACCUUUACUGUCCAGUAUAUUUGCCCUUUUAAGAAUAUCACCAAUGCACUUAGUUUGAGAUAGAUGAAUACCGUGAACAGAUGGAGUAACUUCAAUACCAAGAAAGUAAUGAAAAUCCCCCAGCUCCUUCAAGGCAAACUCAGAAUGUAAUUGCUGAAUAACAUUUCCUAUGAGCUUUGAAUCUGAACCCGUGACUAAAAUAUCAUCCACAUAAAUGAGAAUGAGCAAGAUAUAUGUCCCUGCAUGCUUAAUGAACAGAGAAGUGUCAGAUUUGGAGACUCGAAAACCCCAUUGAACUAGUGACUCCUUUAAUCGAUCAUACCAGGCUCUUGGAGCCUGUUUGAGACCAUAUAAGGCCUUGUUAAGCUUACAAACAAAAGAAGGGUAAGUGGAAUCAACAAACCCUUGUGGUUGAUGCAUGUACACAUCUUCAGUAAGAAUGCCAUUGAGGAAAGCAUUGUUUACAUCCAGCUGCUUAAUAGGCCAGUGAUGCAUGACUGCUAAGCUUAAAAUGAUUCUGACAGUACAAGGCUUGAUCACAGGGCUAAAUGUCUCAAAGAAAUCAACCCCAUAAGUUUGAUGAUAUCCCUUGGCAACCAACCGAGCUUUAUACCGAGAGAUGCUGCCAUCAGCAUUAUACUUAACUCUGUAAACCCACUUGUUGCCAACAAUUUUCCCAGCUGAUUCAGGAGGCACUAAAGUCCAGGUUUGAUUUCUUUGGAGAGCUUCAAAUUCUUCUUUCAUAGCUGAGUACCACCUAGGAUCUGUCAAUGCUGUUUUGACAUUGGAUACUGGUGGAGAAGAAUUUGAAGAUCUUGAGGGUUGAUCUAGAGAUUGUGAAUGAACAGAAUAGGAUCUGUCAAUGCUGUUUUGACAUUGGAUACUGGUGGAGAAGAAUUUGAAGAUCUUGAGGGUUGAUCUAGAGAUUGUGAAUGAACAGAAUGUGGCAAGGAAUGAGACUCUGAUGCAGGAGACAGAGCAGGACUGGAGACUGCAGCUGAUGGCUCUUCAUUGCUACUGUGACUAAGAACAGGUGUUUGAGGAAGAAAGAAAUGAACUGAAGAUGGAGUGGAGGUAGCAGAAUGAGAUAAGGUGUUGGACUUGGUUUUCAAAAACAGUUCAGAAUAUGGAAAUUCCAGUUCAUUGAAAGUAGCAUGUCUGGCAACAAAGACUUUCCCAGUUCGAUCAAGACACUUGUAGCCAUUAUGAAUGGGGCUAUAACCAAUGAAGACACACUUUUGAGUAUGGAAAUCUAGCUUGUGAUGAUGAUAAGGUCGAAGAAAAGGAAAACAGGAACAGCCAAACACUUUAGAAAACUUGUAAUCUGGAAGCUGAUUGUAUAGUUUCUGAAAAGGAGAUAAAUUGUUUUGAACAGGUGUUGGCAUUCUAUUCACUAAGUAAGUGGCUGUAUGAAAAGCUUCCCACCAAAAAGAGAGAGGUAAAUGAGCUUGAGCUAAGAGUGUGAGUCCAGUUUCAACAACAUGCCUAUGCUUCCUUUCCACCACACCAUUUUGAUGGUGAGUGUGGGGGCAACUAUAUCUAAAUUGAAUACCCUCUUGUUGGAGAAAUGAUCUGAAGGCUAUAAACUCACCCCCCAUAUCAGUUUGUAGUGUUUGGAUGGAUAAAGAAAACUGUUUUUCGACAAGAGAUUUGAAAUAUUUGAAGGUGUCUAAUGCCUCAGAUUUGAGUGUGAGUGGAAAUACCCAACAAUAUCUUGUGAAAUCAUCAACAAAAGAAAUAUAGUACUUGUAUCCAUCCAUAGACAACACAGAAGCUGGACCCCAUAAGUCAGCAUAUAAGAGUUGGAGAGGAAAUUUUGAUUUUAUAUUAGUGACUGGAAAAUGGAAUUGAUGUAAUUUACCAUAUUGACAAGCAUCACAAAAAUUAAGAGAUUGAGAAUGGGUUGAAUGCAUAGGAAGACUUUUCAUUAUUGUUUGCAAGACAUGUUUGGUUGGAUGACCAAACCUAUUGUGUAGCAACUGCAUAGACUGACUACUGGAAGCUAUAAAACUGACAUAAUUCUCAUUAUUGGAAUUGAUCAAAUUUGAACAGACAUUUGUUUGGUGAUUCAACUCUUUCAAAGAGUGUACAUUCUCUUUAUUAGAAAAAACAGACAACAUUGAACUAGGUUUGAGACCCAAGGCUUUAGAAUCAGAAAGAGGUGUAUCUUGAGUCAGUAGCUUAAAGAGACCAUCCUCAGCAAUCCCUUGUGCCAGCAAAGUUCCUUGCAUCUUGGCCUUAAUGAAACAAAGAUUAGAAACAAAUUCAAUGAUUAUAUGAUUGUCAGAGAGAAGUUUAGAUAAGCUAAUCAGAUUCUUGGUAAUUUUGGGCACACACAGAACAUUGGAAAUGUUUAAUUGAUUACCAAAGGAUGUAAGGAGACAUAUAUUGCCUAUAGAAGUAAUUCUAAGACCUUGUCCAUUACCAACUAAUAGCAACUGAGAUCCAAGAUAAGGUGUACCUUCAGCUAGGUUCUCCAUAUUGUUUGUGAGAUGAUGUGUUGCUCCACUAUCCAGAUACCAUCCUUGGUCAACAACUCCUUCUGAUGUAGCCAUGAAAGCAGCUUUGGAAGUUUGAUUCUGAUCUGGAAAGUUUCCUUGCACAGAAAAAUUAGGAACAAAAUUUCUGUUAAAUCUGUCUUUGCAAUCAGCUGCAGUAUGAUUGUGUUUGAAACAAAUCUGACAAACAAUAUUUCCUUUGCCUCCUCCUCUUCCAAAUCCAUUAUAGCCACCAGGAAAUCUACCAGAAAAAUUUCCAGCAGCACCAGCAAAAUUGCCUCUACCCUGAUUUCUAUUCCAGUUAUUCCAAUUAUUAUUCCAUUGUCCUCUACCUGAAUUUUGUCCCCUUCCUGGAUUGAAACCUCCUCUGUUUGUAAAGUUUCCAUUCCAGUUAUGAAAUCCAGGUUUGUUUCCAGUGUUUCCAUUCCAGCCUCCUUGACUAUUAUUAUUCCAGCCUCCCUGAUUGUUAACUUUCUUUUGAUUAUUCUCAGCCUGAGCUAAGUUAGCAGCAUAGUUCUGUUUCACUUCUUUGAAAGAAUUAGAUUGAUUGCUUUCUAAACGUGCCUCAUGUGUCAACAACAUUGAAUAAGCCUCAUUAAUACUCAUUUUUAGAACAUUUGCUUCAAUAUACACAACUACUGGAUAAUAAGGCUGACCUAAUCCAGAGAUGAGAUGAGUUAUAAAAUCCAAAGAACUAACAGGACUUCCAGCAAUAGCAAGCUCAUCUGUAACUGACUUCAACUUACUAAAAUAUUCUGUCAUAGUCAUAGAUCCUUUCUUCAGAUUAUUCAACAUCAUUUUGAGAUGAACUUUCUUAGCAGCAGUUUAAGAUCCAAAUUGUUGCUCUAAACUAGACCACAGUUCAUAAGAGGUUUUAGAGUUUACCACAAGGCUGAGGAUUUCAAUGCUGAUAGAGGAUAGCAGCCAGCUCAGCAGCAUCUGAUCUUGCUUCUUCCACACAUGAAACUCAGGAUUCUCUUGUGAAGUAACAGUUGAACUUGCAGAAGCAAUGAACAUAGCAUCUGAAUUUCCUUGAGUGCUUGAGAGAAAUUGAUCUGGACAGAUUCUGGAUCCAUCAAGCAAACUCUCAAGCUCAUUUGCUCGAACUGAGGAUAGAAUUUGAGAUUUCUAGAUUGAGUAAUUUGAUCGAUCAAGUUUUAUUGGAGUUGUGAAAGUAAAGGUUGUUGCUGAAGAAGAGAUGUUUGUGGUCAAGCUUGAUAAUGCCAUGAGAUUAGACUAGAUGUGGCUCUGAUACCAAAUUGAAGUUUAACCAAGCUAUUUAUGCUUGUUUGGUUGCAGAGAAAAUGAAGGAAAAUUCAAUGAGCAAUAAGAGAAACUAUAAGAAAAAAUAGAUCGAAUUUUAUUCAAUGAAUUAUGAAUACAGAGGUUGAUCUUAUAUACUAAGAUCCAGAACCUUCUGCAUUGCUCACACACGUGUUGAGAGUGAGCUGUGAUUAACAAACUUCUCAGCUCUAUAACAAACUUACAAACUAACAAAUAACAACCUUGCUUACUCAGCUGCCACAUCAGCAGAAUCAUUACAAAAAUAUUCUUUAUAUUUAUAACUCUAACAAGUUCAACUUCUUUGUCGACAAUAAUUCUUACAUAACAACAACGAAAAAAAGAAAAAAGAAAAAUCAAAUAUAGUGUUAGGGCUUCAAGGGAUUCUCCAUGGAGUGAUCUUUAAAUAAAAAACCAGCACCGCCCUCCGUUUGAUUUCUCCUGAAGAAAAGAUUUUAUCGAUAUUUUCCUUCUUUUUCACUCUCACUCUUUUUUUGAAAAAUUUCUUUCUGUACUUAUCAAAAGUUUUGCCUACAGCUGGAACCGAACAUAUAAAAUUUAAGGAUGAUUUAGAAUGUAUGUUAAGGUAUUAAUUUUUAUUACCUUGUAUUCUAGUGAUGGCAGACCUAUUAAUUCAUGAAAUCGAAGAAUUCUGAAGUUGUUUUGGUCCACUAAUCUUAGCUUUAGGAUAAGUGCUGACAAUUUCUUCUUCGGUCAUGAAUUAAGAUCCAAUCAUGUAGCUAGUAAAACAAACAUUCUGUAACUAAUUAGCCUAUAACAGAUUCGAUCUGACUGUACCAUAAGCAUAUGUAUAUGUGUAUUAAUGACUGGAGUUCAAUUAAUAAUUGCAAACUCAGCAAUAAAUAAUCUGUUAAUGGAUUCUGAUGUGUGUUCGUAGUGGAUUUACGAUGGUACUCAAAGUUCUCCAUGUUGAAUGAAAUUUCAAUUUGUAUUGAUAAAUACAAAUGACUUGCACAAUACAAACGCGGGACCCAAGUGGCCAAAAAGUUUUUCAUUACUCGCUUUAUCUCGCACUAGAAAACAUUUACAGCAAGCCGAGGCCUAAUUAAGAAGACCAAAAGGUUCAUUACGAAUAUGAAACUACAAGUUUAAGAGGGGAGAUAAGCCCCUUGCCCACUAUCUUCUUGUCUCCUAUCGAGUCCUGCUAUCCCAUCAAUAGCACUCAAUUUGAAGCAGCCAAAAGGUGGCGCAAUUGGAUUCAACCCACAGAUUGCCUACCAUUACAUGUAUCAUCUCCGAACUGUGCCGUAAAAUGGGAAUCUUGUUGAGGAUAUUAUCUCAAGGAGAAUAGUAACAAGGCUAACAAUAUAAACUCGAGGAAUUUUUAAAUUUUGAGCUAGUUCUUGAACUUUUGAGUUGAAUUAGACCAUGUGUUUCUAUAAAUUUAAAAACCGCGAUUGGAUUCAGCCCGACUGACAAAGGCUUAUCAAACUCAUUUGAGACCAAAGCACGAUUACGAGAUCCCCGCAGAAAUCUUAUUUGUUAAUAGAGCAGAAAAUGGUUUGUUCAAGUGAGCAUGCUAAAGAUUGCUGGCAUCUUCCCCUCGUAAACCUGAAGAUAUGGCUAAUCUUUCAUAAAUGUUUGAGAUGCCAAAAGGCAGUAAAAGUUGUCUAAUAGGAAAUUUGAAAUGAGGAUGCUGUGAAGUCUCUUAUUUUUAGGAAUAGUUGGAUUAAGAUAAAGCAUGAAAUGAUUAUAAUUUUACUGAAGUUGCAGUUAGAAGUUUAUUGAUUUCUCGUGUUCUAUUUUCUAUUUUCUAUUUUCUAUUUCCUAAUUUUAUAUUUCAAUAAAAACAGUCGGUUUGUAUCACUCUCACUCUUGUUGAAUCAAAAAUCAAAAUCACUCUUUCUAAUUAAGACUGUGUCCAGUGCAAAAUAUAUUUAUUUAGAUAUCAUUCAACUUUAUCUAUUUAAAUUGUAAUAAAAACAUAUCCUUCAUUCAUAAUAGCGGCCAAGAUUCGCACAAAGGAACACCAGCUCGACUAUCGUGCAGGGAAAUAAUUGAUGACAAGAUUCUUACGUUCUAAACACGUACGGCAUUGUGGAAAGUUGAACCGUAUUAUUAUAUGCAAUUAACCCAAUAUAUCAAAAUACAUAUACAAAACAUGUGGACACUAUUUUGAGAGAUAAUUGAUUGAGGAAAUUCGGUAUAAUUUUAGGCAAUUAAAUAAAUCUUUUUGAAAUUUACAUGUGUUUUGGGAGAUAAUUGUCGUGUAAAUCAGUGCUCGCGCAUGUAUAAAAUUAAUCUCUAUUAACUGGGAAGUUUCUUGGGGUGACACAAGUGGAUAUACACUAUUCGUGAUGUACAAGACAACAUUAUCAGGAAAACAGACGUGCCAAUUAAUAAUAAAGGACUAGCAGUUGAAGCUGACCAAAUUAAUUUUAUGUGUGUAAGAUUUCAAGAUAGUUUCCUGUAGAAUUUAAUGGUCAUGUGUUUCUUCGGCUCCUUCCUCAAAUCCAGCACAACGGCAUAGUCACAUGCAUGAAGAUUUUGGAGUCUUUGGCUGCACAAUUUUUCUGGACUUUAAUUUGCAUUAGUUAUUGGCUUUUUUAUAUUGCUCUUUAAUCAGCUUUUUCCGAUAAAAUAUUUCUGUAUUAGUUUUCGAUUAAAAUAGUCCUGGCCUCCUGGGAAGUUAUGGUACGAAUCAGAUUCUUUUAUCAACAUUUGACAAUUUCUUUUUCAAAGCUUUGAGUAGUGGAAUCAAUGAAAGAAGAAAUUAAUGUAAGAAGAAUAAUUAAAUGGGUACUCUCUUAGCCCCUUUAUCUGCUUAAAUAAAGAUUUUUGAAUACCUUGUUGGUGUGGCUAGUUAUGCUUGAAGUUGUUCUACAGUGUCUCGCUUGAAAAUUCCGAUACAAAAAAUUAAAAAGAAUCAUCUUCAUCACAUAGUCGACAGAACAUACACAUAUUCAACAGAGCAUACAGAGCAUACAGAACAUACACAUGUUCAAAAAAAUUUAUAUUGCGAUCAGACUUGACUCUUGAGCCUUGGUCAUUCCAUCACUAUCGUAGUUCCCCAUGAUACGUCAUGAGGGGAACUCAGUCAUUCCAAGACGGGUACAGUCAUCUUGUAAGGAGAUGAUUUAAUUUUACGACAUUACCCCUUCAGUGCACUCAUCUUUUAAACCGUAAGUAAUCAUCCUAGAGGAUGCAUCAUGGGACCUUCGCUGAUUGCUGAGUGUAUUGACUCAAGAAAGAACUUUUAAUUUCAUUACAGGUUUCAUAAGAUCAAAGUUGAGGGUAGAUCAAAGCUGUGACUAUUAAAAAUAUGUUCGUGACAUUAUACUCACAAAAUUUAUUACGGCAGUCAUAAUUUUGCCAUUUAUGUAUAGAGUACUCAAAAUUAUUGAAUUUCAUUUAAAAAAGGUUAAAUUAUAGAAUUUCAUUAAAAAAAAUUUCAAAUUAAACUUAUCAUAAAAAAACCUGAACCGUCCAUGCAAAAUCUAAGUGAUUAAAAGAGAUUAUAAGAACAAUUUAAUUGAUUAAUUAUCAAUUCUUUUUUAUAUGUAAAAUUGGUAUUUUACAAGUUAAUUAUAAUUAACUAACAGAAAUGUAGCAAAAUAUAGGGUUUAUUAGAGAUAUUUAACAAUUCCUGAAGUAUCAUGGUAUAAAAUGUUAUACCCUAAUAUUUCCUGCACCAAUUUAUUUUACAAUUCCUAAAAUAGUAAAAUGAAUAUAACGCAUAAAAUUAAUUAAAUUAUUAACAUAGCUUCUGUCCUUUAUAGUAAUUUCAUUAGAUGUUUCAUGAGAUCAAAGUUUUGAGGGUGAAUUAAUCAAAGAAAAUGGUUGUGGAUGGUUAUAACAUUCGACCAAAAAUAAUAUUAUUAUUUGGUUGGAGCCAUAGCAGGGUAGGCCCAGUCCCAGUCCCUUGUGCCCGUUCCGGUCAUUGGCAAGACAGUCUGCCAUGCAAGCAAGCGAAGGAGGAAAAUGUGAGGUAUUUUUACAUCACUUGCCAAAUGUGUAAUAUUUGCUUACUUGGACUUCAAAGUCAGUAGUUUAAUGAAAUUGGAACAUUUUUAGGACUUAAGAGACUCUCCUGAUCUAAUCUUCUUUCUAUAAUUUUGAAGUAGUUCCUAAGUUGAAUUAGAUCGUGGGUUUCUAAAAUCUAAAAAUUCCAAUAGGAUUCGACCCCACAUACAAAGACUUACCAAACUCAUAAUUUUUAUGAGUGAUUGUCGUGUAAAUAAGUGAUUGCGGACGUGACCAAUUGGGCUUUAGCCUAAUGGUGAACCGCUACUUUCAAAGUUAAAAAGAAGUAUAAGAGUAGUGAUUCGAGAAUCCAAUUGGGAUUUUUAGAUUAAUAGAAACAUUUGGUAUAAUUCAACUCAUGAACUAGAUCAAUAACAGAAAAUUCUUUAAGUUUAUAUGGUUGGCCUAGUUACUAUUCUCCAUUGACGUGAGAUGAUAUAUCCACAACAAGAUUCCCUUUGUACUGUGCAGUUCGUGUUGGAAAUUUUCAAAAUAAUUGUGUCUUAUGGUAAAGACAUGUCCUAUUAAUUGUGCCUUAUAGAAAAGGUACCUUUCACUAAAGACUUGUCUAAUUAAAUGAUGUCUUAUUGUAAGGACAUGUCCAUUUAAUUGUGUCUUGUAGAAAAGGUAUCCUUUUACUAAAUGAUAUAACUUUUCAUGGCAACAUUUCACUUAGAGAUGCAUCAUUUCAUAGUGACAUUUCAUUUGAAAUGGUGAUGGUUCAAUUUAGACCAUUGAUUAAAAUCAAAUCUAGAUCCAAUGGCCAUGAAUGAAGGGGUAUCAUGAAAGAUGAUAACCCAAAUGAGGAGGCACAAGUAUAUCUAUAAAUAGGGGUCAUGUUUAAGCCAUUUAGACAUGAAAUGAAUGAUCCUACACCACUCUUUUCUUAGCAUUCCUUUCUAGUACGAAUCUCAACACAAAACACCCAUUUCUUUUGUGCAUUCACAUUCCAAUAUAUUGUUUUCUGCAGGAACAAUAUAUUAUUUCUUGGUAGGCUUGCAACAUUCAAGAGUAUUCUAGUUUGCUUUCGUCGAUGCACAACGCAAGCAAACAAACAAGUGCUUCAUUGUAUCCUGGAGGCGUAUUUGCUUAACCCAUGUGCAUCACUCAAUUGGUGGGGGCAAAUAACGUCUUAAGGAAAGCGACAUUUGUAACGUGCCUUGAAGCACACAAAAUUUCUGCAGUUUCUUCCUACAUACAGAGUUAGUUGUAAACACAUUAUUUUACAUAAUAAAGUUCCACCAUUAUUGUUGUAUUUCUCUACAUUUGUCAUUCCCCACAAAAUUUACCACCAACAAUCUUAAGACGUUAUUUCUACAACAAUGGCACCAAGUUCAUCUCUUCGACAAUUUGCAGUAGAUUUUGUCAAAUUGGAGCGGUUUGAUGGUGGCAACUUUAUUCGUUGGCAGAAAAAGUUGCAUUUCUUGUUGACAAGCCUCAAUGUGGUCUAUGUUCUCACAACACCAAAGCCUCAAGAACGUGAGAAUGAGACAUUAGCGGAAACCAGAGUGCGACAUAAGUGGGAGCAAGAUGACUACGUGUGUAAGGGACACAUUUGCAAUGCCAUGUCUGAUACUUUGUUUGAUCAAUAUCACAACAAACCUACAUCAAAAGAGAUAUGGGACUCAUUAGAGGCUAAGUACAUGAUGGAAGAUGCCACAAGUAAGAAAUUCUUGGCUUCUAAAUUUUUUAAUUAUAGAAUGGUUGAUAAUAGACUCGUGGUUGAACAAUAUAAUGAGAUUUUGCAUAUUCUUGAUCAAUUCAACCAACAUAACAUGAAAAUGGAUGAGUCUAUUAUUGUCUCUUCAAUUAUUGAUAAACUUCCUCCCUCUUGGAAAGACUAUAAGAAAAGUCUUAAACAUAACAAAGAGGAAAUUAGUCUGGAUGGCUUAGGCCAAAGUCUUCGUAUUGAAGAGGAACUCAAGCUUAAUAGUCUUGAGGAUCAGACUACUAUGUCCUCUAAAAUUAAUGUCGUAGAGGAAGGGAAGGAGUUUAAGCAUUCUAAUCACCCUAAGAAUAACCAAAAGAGAAAGUUUGAUUCCAAAGAGAAUCAAAACAAUAAGAAGAAAAAGAAGGGUACAUGCCACCACUGCGGAAAACCUGGCCAUUUCAAAAGAGAUUGUCGACUUCUGAAGAAACAAAAGGAAGUUUCGAACACAAAUCUUGUGGCCAUGAUAUCUGAGAUUAAUGUUCUUGAAGAUGAUAAUGCAUGGUGGAUAGAUUCUGGUGCAACCAAGCAUGUAUGCAAGGAUCGUAGCCUUUUCAAAUCUUAUAAAGCAAUGGAUGAUGGAAGUGUUCUUUACAUGGGAAAUUCCUCCACUGCAAUAGUUAAAGGAAAAGGCAAUGUGCAACUAGAGUUCACUUCCGGAAAAACUUUAACUCUUACAGAUGUUUAUCAUGUUCCUGAAGUUAGGAAAAACCUUGUAUCUGGUAGCCUUCUUAAUAAGUUUGGCUUCAAACUUGUUUUUGAGUCAAACAAGUUUAUAUUAUCUAAGGGUGGUACCUUUGUUGGGAAAUGAUACAUGUAUGAAGGAAUGUUUAAACUCAAUAUCAAUAAUAUGAAUGUUUCUUCUGCUUAUAUGGUUGAUUCAUUAUCUUUGUGGCAUAAUCGUUUAGGACAUGUGAAUGUUAGAAGAUUGCAUGAUAUGGCUAAUUUAGAAUUAAUUCCUAAGCAUGAAAAUGAUAUGCAUGAAAAAUGUAAAGUAUGUGCACAAACUAAAAUCACAAGAUCUCCUUUUCCAAAAAUUGAAAAAACAUCUUCUUUAUUGCAUUUAAUUCAUAGCGAUGUGUGUGAUAUGCAUAGUAAUCCUUCUAAAGGUGGUAAAAAAUAUUUUGUAACAUUUAUUGAUGAUUUUUCAAAAUAUUGCUAUGUGUAUUUAUUACAUUCUAAAGAUCAAGUGUUAGAAAAAUUUAAAACUUAUAAAAAUGAAGUUGAGAAUUUUUGUGACACUAAAAUUAAAUGCCUUAGAAGUGAUAAAGGAGGUCAAUAUGCUUUUUCUGAUUUUUGUGAAUCUGUUGGCAUUGUACACGAAACUAGCACUGCAUAUACUCCACAACAAAAUGGUGUAGCUGAAAGGAAAAAUAGGACAUUAAUAGAAAUGGUUAAUGCUAUGCUUUUUAAUGCUGGGCUUGGUAAAGGUUUUUGGGGUGAAGCUAUUUUAACUGCAUGUCAUAUCUUAAAUAGAGUGCCUAAUAAGAAAACAAAGGUGACUCCAUAUGAAUUAUGGAAAAAGAAAAAGCCUAAUCUUUCUUAUCUAAGAGUUUGGGGUUGUCGAGCCAUUGUAAGACUACCAGAACCUAAGAUAAAGAAAUUAGGAGAAAGGGGCAUUGAAUGCAUAUUCUUGGGAUAUGCAGAGCAUAGUAAAGCUUAUAGGUUUCUUGUAACAGAACCUAAUAGCUUUGUUGAGAUCAAUACUAUAGUGGAAUCUAGAGAUGCAAUAUUCUAUGAAAAUAGAUUUUCCACUAUACCAAAAAGUAUUGAUUCUCAAGAGAAUGAUAAACAAAUAGAAAUUGGUCAAAAGCGUAAUGCUAAUAAUGAGCAAAAUCAUUUGAGAAGAAGUAAAAGAAUAAGGACUCUAAAAUCUUUUGGACCAGAUUUUAUAGUUUAUUUAGUUGAAGGGACAAGAGACUCACAAUCAAAACAGACCAUGAUCACAUCUACUAUAGAGUCUGAUCCCCUCACCUAUGAAGAGGCAAUGAAGUCUCAAGAUGCUGCUUUUUGGAAAGAGGCCAUUAAUGAUGAAAUGGACUCUAUUGUGGGUAAUAAGACUUGGAAAUUAGUUGAUUUACCUCCUGGCUCUAAUCCUAUAGGUUGUAAAUGGAUUUUCAAAAAGAAGAAGAAAGUUGAUGGAACAAUUGAAAGAUUUAAAGCAAGACUAGUAGCAAAAGGCUUUACACAAAAAGAAGACCUUGAUUAUUUUGAUACUUAUGCACCUGUUGCAAGAAUUGCUACUAUUAGAGUCUUGAUUGCUUUGGCUUCAAUUUAUCAAUUUGAAAUCCAUCAAAUGGAUGUAAAAACAGCUUUCUUAAAUGGAGAAUUAGAUGAGGAAAUUUACAUGAAACAACCAGAAGGGUUUGUUAUGCCAGGACAAGAACAUAAAGUUUGUAAACUAGUCAAGUCUUUAUAUGGUCUUAAACAAGCUCCAAAGCAGUGGCACGAAAAGUUUGACAAAGUGAUUGUCUCAAAUGGAUUUAAUAUUCAUGAAUCUGAUAAAUGUGUCUAUAGCAGAUUCAAUGGAAAUAAAGGUGUGAUUAUUUGUUUAUAUGUAGAUGACAUGUUAAUUUUUGGUACUGAUAGUGAGAGCAUUGAACUCACUAAAUUAUUAUUGUCAUUUAAUUUUGAUAUGAAAGACAUGGGACUUGCUGAUGUGAUUUUGGGGAUUAAAAUUAUAAAAAAUGAGAAUGGCCUAGUAUUGACCCAAUCACAUUAUAUUGAGAAAAUUUUAAAGAAAUUUUAUUAUUAUGAUUGUAAGUCUGUGUCAACACCUUUUGAUUCAAAUAUAAAACUGUAUCCUAACACUGGCAGAUCAGUAUCCCAAUUAGAAUAUGCACGUAUUAUUGGAUGUCUUAUGUACGCAAUGACUUGUACUAGGCCUGAUAUUGCUUUCGCUGUUGGAAAGCUCAGUAGAUAUACUAGUAAUCCAAGCCAAGCACACUGGCAAGCAGUGUACAGAAUUCUAAAAUAUUUAAAACAUACAAUGGAUUAUGGUAUAUACUACACUGGAUAUCCUUCAGUUUUGGAAGGAUUUUCGGAUGCUAGUUGGAUUACUGAUCGAGAUGAUCAUACAUCCACAAGUGGUUGGAUUUUUAAUCUUGGUGGAGGAGCUAUUUCAUGGGGCUCAAAGAAGCAAACUUGUAUAGCAGACUCCACCAUGGCUGCAGAAUUUGUAGCUUUGGCUUCAUGUUGCAAGGAAGCUGAAUGGUUAAGGAAUUUGCUUAUAGAAAUUCCUAUUUGGUCUAAACCAAUGCCUCCUGUAUCUAUUCACUGUGAUAGUGAGGCAACUUUAUCAAGAGCAUAUAGUCAAAUCUAUAAUGGAAAGUCUAGGCACAUUGGUCUAAGACAUAGUUAUGUAAGACAAUUACUUACAGAUGGAGUAAUCACAAUUGACUUUGUGAAAUCAUGCCAAAAUUUGGCAGACCCCUUAACUAAAGGCCUUGCAAGGGAUAUUGUAUUUAAAACUUCUGAGGGGAUGGGACUGAAGCCAGCAUCAUCUUAUCACCAAUGAUGGAAACUCAACCCAACACUUGAAAUAUCAAGAUCUUGGGUUCAAUGAGCAAAAGUACAUCAUAUGUUGUGAUAGCAAGCACUAUAAUAUUUUUAGAUGCGUCCCAAAGGUUAGUGCUUGAUACCUGUAACAUAUGGAAAAAGUUAAGCUACUUAGCUUUUAAUGGACUUAUAAAUGUUUUAGUUACAGGGACAUUCUAGAUAAGUCCACCUAUGUGAGUGUAGGAGGUGGUGCCGCUUCCUAUGUAACUUGGCUGGUUACUAAAGCGCUCAUGAAAACAGGAUAUAGACACAGGGCCAAUCCACGUGUCGGCUAAGGAAUACUUGAGAAUUUGAAAACUUAUGUGUGAGAUAUAUCCGGUUAGUCGAUUAAGGUUGCUGGUUCAAAGCUUGCCUACCAUGCCACCUUGAUUAACUUUGAUGUAUUGUCGCUAAGUGAAGGUUCAAGUCCAAAAGACACCUUCAUCUAUGCCUAAGUUUUCCAAGCUUGUGCAAGAUCAUUUUUCCAAAUUCAUUUAUUUUGAAAAUGGUGGGGGAUUGUUGGAAAUUUUCAAAAUAAUUGUGUCUUAUGGUAAAGACAUGUCCUAUUAAUUGUGCCUUAUAGAAAAGGUACCUUUCACUAAAGACUUGUCUAAUUAAAUGAUGUUUUAUUGUAAGGACAUGUCCAUUUAAUUGUGUCUUGUAGAAAAGGUAUCCUUUUACUAAAUGAUAUAACUUUUCAUGGCAACAUUUCACUUAGAGAUGCAUCAUUUCAUAGUGACAUUUCAUUUGAAAUGGUGAUGGUUCAAUUUAGACCAUUGAUUAAAAUCAAAUUUAGAUCCAAUGGCCAUGAAUGAAGGGGUAUCAUGAAAGAUGAUAACCCAAAUGAGGGGGCACAAGUAUAUCUAUAAAUAGGGGUCAUGUUUAAGCCAUUUAGACAUGAAAUGAAUGAUCCUACACCACUCUUUUCUUAGCAUUCCUUUCUAGUACGAAUCUCAACACAAAACACCCAUUUCUUUUGUGCAUUCACAUUCCAAUAUAUUGUUUUCUGCAGGAACAAUAUAUUGUUUCUUGGUAGGCUUGCAACAUUCAAGAGUAUUCUAGUUUGCUUUCGUCGAUGCACAACGCAAGCAAACAAACAAGUGCUUCAUUGUAUCCUGGAGGCGUAUUUGCUUAACCCAUGUGCAUCACUCAAUUGGUGGGGGCAAAUAACGUCUUAAGGAAAGCGACAUUUGUAACGUGCCUUGAAGCACACAAAAUUUCUGCAGUUUCUUCCUACAUACAGAGUUAGUUGUAAACACAUUAUUUUACAUAAUAAAGUUCCACCAUUAUUGUUGUAUUUCUCUACAUUUGUCAUUCCCCACAAAAUUUACCACCAACAGUUCGGAGAUGAUACAUGUAGUUCAAAAACAGAAAAUUCCACAAUUUGAUCACCGCCACCUUGGGGCUGGUUCAAAUUGGAAAUUAUUGAUGCCGCAAUAAAUGAUGAAUCAGACGGCUGGGUUAGCAGGAUUUAUGAGACCUCAAGAUUCUGGGCUUGUUCUUUUCUUGGGCUUCUCUCCCUUCUAAAACUUGUAGUUUUAUCUUUGAAAUGAACCUUAGGACCUUCUUAAUUAGGCCCAGGCUUGCUAUAACCCCACGGCAACCCCGCAAAACAAAUUUUUAGGCAACUUAGGUCCUGCAUUUCUAUAGCACAGAUCAUUCUUCUUAGCCAAUUGUCUACAUAUACUAUUUAAUUUGAAAUAAAUUGAAAUUUCAUUCAACAUAGAGAGAUUUGAGUGCCGUCGUACAUCUUCUACAAACACACAUCAAAAUUGAUUAACCGAUUAUUUAUUACAAGAAGACAAUGGAUUAAAUUAUUGUACUUUCAAAUUAUGAGAGGAAAAAAGAUUAUUUACAAAUGCAGUGUACAUUCACUCUUCCUUUAAUCCCCAAGUAAUUAAAGUUUCAAUUAGAUGUGUACAUGCCUCUCGACCUUUUUUGAGUGGUGGGCUGCUGUCCUCACACGGUGUGAGUUCUAAUGGACUCAACUCUCUCUCAAUUAAGAAUAAUUGAGUGGAGACCAUUGCAGUCUUUUUCCCUUUCAAAAAUUGUAAGUGGAGCAAGAAUCCCUCAAAUAUUAAUAUUAUUACUUUUGGAUAGUAUUGUAGCAGGUGCUGUGGUGAUACUUUUGGAUAGUAUUAUUAUUUUAAAAUAUUAAUUUUUGGUCUGUUAAAAAUAUUUCAUACUUAAAUUUGAGAAUUGAUAUUGGAUCGAGAAUUGGUGUUGGACUUGUAGUUUCUUUUUUUGGGACUAAUGUUGAAAUUUUAAUUUUCCAUUUACAUUGAUGAAAUUUAGAAUUGAAUAUUUUAUGUGAAAUUAUAGGUUAUUGUUACAAAUUUUUAUAUUGAGUUAUUUAAUUUAAUUUUUUAGGUAUUAUUAAAUGUAUUUUUUUAACAUUUGUGAUUUUAAAUGUGGGAACGCACAAAAAAUCCAUUGAAUAUCAUUGCGGUUUUGGUAAUUGUCAAAAUUCGUAGUUGGUGAGUUUUCUUAAAAAAAAUUAAAAUCCAUAGCAGGUUGCAAGUAAAUUUAAUAAUUGAAAUUUUAUACGAGUAUAAGUUUAGUAAUAAUAAACCUGGGGACUAUGCACAAUUGCACAUUGCCAUCCCUAUCUCAACUAGUUGUCUGAUUAUAAUGCCGGUAGUUAUCUGCAAUAAUAGUAAUUCCUAAAUAUCUCUUAUGUAAUAUUAAGUUGUUUAAUUGUACCGGUAUAUAUAAAAAAAAAGAUGUAUACAUGUAAAUAUGUAAUUGCCUAAAGUCUACCAAGCUUCUAAGUCAGUCUAGUCAAAAUUGUCAAAAGAAAUUUCAUAUUUCGCAAUGGAAGAAGUUGUGCCUGCCUUUUGGAUGAGGCCUCAAAAGUGCAUGCUUUUUGGAUUGAGGCCUCAGAGGUAGAAUUAACUAUUAAUUAAAGAACAAAAACAAAGCGCUCUCAAAGUAAAGUCAACCAAACCAUUAUUUUUGGUGCUGUACAUACUAAUUAUUAUUUUAUAAUCAACAAUGACAUCGGCAGCUCUUUUAUCCACUAGCCAAAUACAAACUUUGAUUCUUAUUCAAUUAAAAGAAUUCCUAAACUUUAAUAAUCAUAUUUUUGUUUAAUACUAAUACUUUUUUUCAUUUACCAUUUUUUUCCAGUCUAAGGAUAGUCAAAAGGAAAUCUCGAAUUCGCCCAUUUUGUUAAAUUAAAAUAUUAAAACUAAUUAUUAUUUGCUGCAAGGAAUCUCCAGUUUGACACAUUCAGUUAGACACACUAAUAAAAAAAGAAAAAAAAACGUGGGUAUUCUUCCAUUUCAGAUUUUUUAUUAUGUACAACAAAUAUAACUAUAUGGAACUAAUAUAACUACGUGACAAAUAUAAUAAUAAAUGCGAACCAUAUCAUACGUAUAAGCUUUCGAUGACAAUAUCCCUAAGAGGCAUGACCGAAAAUAAAGGCAUGCAUAAAUUGACAGGCCACAGUUCACCAGACAGACAUCAAUUCUCAGAAGCAAUUCACAAAGAGAUUGCAACACACGUCUUGUUACAGUAUCACUCGUCUCACCAGAUGACAGAUGUACAUCGUUCAUCAAUUAUAGAAAGUAAGUUGAUGCUUAGUGUGAUCAUACUUAAAUAUCACUAUGUUAAUUGAAAUUACAAUUUGACCAUGGACCGACAUAGAAAUGUUUCAUAUUUCCUUUCUAUUUCUGCCUUUUUAGUUUUUACCCACUAGAGGGUUGUUUCACGAUGCACGAACGUUGAAAUCAAAGUCACCUUAAUUAAUCGAACCAUUAUUGAUCAUUAUAUCCACUAAAGUUGCAGCUUAGCUCGAUAUGAUAUUGAUUCUGCAUGACUUAAUUCUCAUGAAUCAUGAUACUAUUGUACGUACUAAAUAGUAUCAGAUUGGAUUGAGCACCUACAGAGGAAUCUCUUCGUUGCGGGGCUUUGAUUUUGUAAUAUGCAAUGAAAGCAACAAAUCAAAAGUAACUCCACCAAGUUUGAAAAAGACUUACCAAAAGAAAUGAGCAAUAAUAUCUGGUUUGGUGAAAGUGUUCUUAAUUUUUUAGUAAAUAAUGGAAGAACUAAUAAGGCACAACGCGUCUUAUUGCCAAUGAUUUUCAGCAACUUGCAUUACCGAAGUCAUCCUCCCAAUUUUCUCUAUGCGUAGUCUUCAAUUUAUCCCUUGCUUACCUAGUCAGAUUUCUUUCCUUUUUGGUCUAACAAUUGGGAGUUUAAUAAAGAAGGAAAAAAAAACCUUGAAUCAACAAAGUGUUGGCUCCACUGACAAUGGAGUCCCCUUAAGUGGCUUGACUGGGUUUGCUCCCCAGUUCGAGUCGCAGGAAAGUCGCAUUUAUUGGGAGAACAUGUGCCUCUUGGUUCAAACGGGGACUUUUAAUCUGGGUUGUGGUACGAAUUUAAAGGUGCUUCUUACAGUUGGGGCCCUCCCCAGGAUACCUCGUGGUCAAAACCAAAAAAAAAAAAAAAACCUUGAAAGGUCUUUUAUUUGCAACAGAAGUCCAAAGGAUGGGCGACGCCGAAUGUGAACUGUUUUCACCUAUGGGAGAGAGACUUAAUCUUCUCUUUUAUCUUCAAAAUUAGCGAUUCAUUUAUUUUACCAAGUAACCAGGAAAAGAGCUUGAACAUCACAGUGCCCAAGAACCUCAGUGCCCAAGAACCUGAUUAAUUUUCUUUACUUGCCCAACAGAAACAUUAUCCUCCAUUAAUAACAAAGAGCUGCAAGAACUUGGAACAUCCCAAAAUAUUAUUUUCCAUUUCUCCAUUUCCUCGGGCUUUUAUUAUUCAUGGCAACAUUGCACUGUAAUUGAGAUAAAUGCAUUUAUCCGCACCCAUAUUAAUUGAGGAGACAGGUUAGAAUUUCCCGUGCAUGAUAAACCAAUUAUCCAAUGGUACAAUUAAAAUUUCAAAUAGAUAUAUCCAAUUAUGUAAUUGCCUAAAACCUACCAAGCUUCUUAGUUAAUCUGCUAAACAUAGAAUAUUCGACAGCCACUUUUUUGAUAAAUUGGGUUAUUUAACUCCUAAAAUUAAGCUUCAAUAGAAUAUUCUUAGUUAACCCAUAAAUGUAUUAGGUACUUCUCCUAAAGCUUAUUUUAAUGGAACAAAACAACUUCAAAUCAAUUCCGCAAGUCAAUAUUCCAAAAAAAUUUUCCUUCUCAUGAAUUAAUAGAUCUGCCAAUAUACAAAAAAGAAUAUUUCAUGUACAUGUACGACCCAGUUUGGAAAAUCUUUUCUACUUUGUCCGUUUGUGACCAUUAUUAUUACUUUGAGUAUGUUAUUUUUUAAGCCUAAAUUUAAAAAUAAAUGCAAAAUCGUAAUGUAUAAAGCCGAUUUAUUUUUCCCAAAUUGAACAUAAUGAAUUUUCAACCAUGCUUCCUUACAACUUAAGGAAUUAAGGAGUUGGAGUGUGUGUGUUCCGCACUUCCACUAAAGAAGAAGCACUGGAUUUUGCUGACAAAAACGUCCUUGUUUAUGAGAUCUUUUGGUCAAUCUCCAUUUGGUAUUCUCUCCCUUUUUUUUCUCUUUAAUGUUUCUAUUCAAGUGAUGCGAUAAAAUUAGCGAACGAGUCCAAGUGUUGAUUCUUUGAUCCAAUAUUGUCAAUCUGUCCGGUUCAAGGCAGCAUAAUUGAAUGUAACACGAAAUCAUUUUAACUCAGAAUUGUUAUAUAUCAAAGGGGGAGAUUAUAAGUUAAUAUAUAGUCAAUACUCCUCCCAGAAUAAUUUUACAGUAUUUCCAUUAUUUUCAAAUAUAUUUUUGCUUAUAUUUAUUAUAAAUUAAAUAAACCAUAUGAAUAGAAAUUAAAAUAAAAAAUUUAAGAAUUAAAAAUAAGAAAUAUAAGUUUCAGUUUGAAUAAAAAAUAAAUAGUAAGAUAAUUUUUCUUAUACUUUUUUUUUAUUUUUUAAAUAAUUUUCUUAAUACACACACACUCAAGAUAAAUUACCAAACAAAUGACCGAUUUUCCUUUAAAUUUUUGGUGCCAUGAGAGGUUUUGGAUUUUAUGAAAACAACAUGCGAUAAAUGAUAUAUAUUGAUUUCAGUAGAGCUCAGAAGACCAACAAUCUUCCCAUAUCAAACCUAUUUGUAGUUUUUUUUUUCUUAUAUUUAUAUUCAUGUUUUACUCUUCUUUUAUUAACAAAUCUGUGUUAAGAGAAGGAAAUUUUUUUUAUUUUUCACUUACAAGCAUACCCUAAGACGCUUGGUGCUUACAAAUUUAGUUAGCUGUUAAUGAUUUACUGUUAAUUCUUUUUUUAUUUUUUAAAUUCACUAAGUUUUUCAGUGGCAAGAACAAGGAAAAGUUGUCGGUUAGAAUUGUGUUGUAUUGUCAAACAUUAUGAAUAUUCUUCUUUUGACUGGAAAGCGAUUUCAUCUAUAGUAGUUGAGGUAGGUUCCUCUUCCUCUACUAUUUCAUUAGAUUGAAAUGUAUGAAAUCAUUUAGUCUCCUUUAAAUUAUUAGAAAUUUGUAGUGUUUGAAGUUAUAUAUUAUUAUUAGGCAUUGUCCUAACUUCAUAUUGAGUCUUAGGUAUUAUCCCAUAAUUAUACUUAAACUUGAUGUAAUAUUGUGUGACGUUGUGUUUUAUCCAUUAUUGCUUUUCUAAUGAAAUGCAUACUAACUAUUAAUUUAUAAUCAACUGACGCCAAGGAUAGUCAAAAGGAAAUCUCGAGUUUGACGUAGAGAUGGCAAAAUCCUGGGCCGGGUCCGGGUAUUGCCAUGACCGGACCCUGCCCGGAUGCAAUCGGUCCGGGUCCGGGUUCGGGCCGGGUUUUGAUUCGGGUACCCGGAUUUUAUAUUUUUUAAUAUUUAUGUGUAUAUAUUUUUUAUUUUUUUAGUAAUUUUAUAAGUUUUAAAUUUAUUUCAAUAAAAUUUGACAUGAAAAUAUAAAUUUUAAGUGUUUAAAACUUUAUAUAUGUAUAAUAAAUAAGUCAAAUAAAUAUAAAAUAUUUAAAAUAAUAUAUAUUUUAUAAUUGUUUUUAAUAAAAUCCGGGUUCCGGGUUUAUCAAGUGAUGCCCAAGACCGACCCGGCUUCAUACCCGGGCGGGAUAUUACCCGGCCCGCAAUGCCCGGGUACGGUCCGGGUCCGGGCCGGGCGGGUAUUUUUACCACCUCUAGUUUGACGCACUCGAAAAUUUGCCAGCUAGACUCAGUAAUAAUAAACAUGUGGAAAUUCUUCCAUUUCACAUUUUUUAUUAUGUACCACAAAUAUAACUAUAUGGAACUAAUGUAACUAUGUGACAGAUAUAAUAAUAAAUGCGAACCAUACUAUACAUAUAAGCUUUCCUUGACAUUAUCCCUAGGGGCUUGACCGAAAACAAAGGCAUACAAAAAUUGGCAGGCCAUAAUUCAUCAGACAUCAAUUCUCAGAAGCAAUUCACAAAGAGAUUGUAACACACGUCUUGUUAUAAUAUCUCUGGUCUCACCAGAUGUAAAUCGUUCAUCAAUUAUAAGACGUAAGUUGAUGCUUAGUGCGAUCAUAAUUAAAUAUCACUAUGCAAUUUGACCAUGGACUGACGUAGAAAUGUUUCAUGUUUCCUUUACUUUAUAUUUCUGCUUUUUCACCCACUAGAGGGUUGUUUCACAAUGCACAAACGUUGAAAUCAAAGCCACCUUAAUUAAUCGAACCAUUAUUGAUCAUUAUAUCCAGUAAAGUUGCAGCUUAGCUCGAUUCGUUAUUGAUUCUGCAUGAGUUAAUUCUCAUUAUACAAUUGUACGUACUAAAUAGUAUCAGAUUGGAUUGAGCACUUACAGAGGAAUCUCUUCGUUGCGGGGCUUUGAUUUUGUAAUAUGCAAUGAAAGCAACAAAUCAAAAGUAACUCCACCAAGUUUGAAAAAGACUUACCAAAAGAAAUGAGCAAUAAUUUCUGGUUUGAUGCAAGUGUUCUUAAUUAUUCAGUAAAUAAUGGAGGAACUUUUGUCGUCUCUCACAAAUUUAUGUUCUAUUGAACAAGUUUCUGCAAGUUAAAAGGAAUUCUAAUUGUUAUUGUCGUUUUUUGGGUUACGUAUUAUUCCCCCCAUUUUGAAGGACCAUUAGAACGAAAAUAAUGUUAAAAGCAAAAAGAGAAUUGAAGAAUAAGAGCAUCUUUUUAUACGAGGCCCGAGCUUGAGGAACUGUUUGAAUUCUUUCAAUGCGGGGCAGGUUUUGCUUAAUUUGUAUACCCAAUUUCUAAAACGGAUCAGCUUUAAAUAAUAUUAAAAAGAAAAAUUUAUCAUUUAUCUUAUCAUCUUUGUAUUUGAUUGUGAGUUUGUAACAAAAACUAAGCUACGAGUAUGCGUAAGGGCUAAGGGCCACCUUUUUAUCCUAUCAAUGUGACCGCAAGAAUUUCUCGGAACCCUUAAAUCAAUGUGGAGAUAUGUGAGAUAUCAAGGAAUUAAGCAUCUUUAAAAGAAAAAAAAAAUAUGGGAAAAUAUCCACCGUCCACCCAUUUUUUAUACCUUUUUCAAAAAUACACAAUUCUUUCAUUUUUUGGCUGGAAUCCACCUAAAGUUACAUUUUUUUCACUUUUCCACUUCCGUUUGGAAUCCGUUAAGAAAACUAACGGAAACUUAAAAAAAUGACCAUUUUACUCCCAAAACGAAAAUUACAAUUUCACCUUAAAAAUUAAAAAAAAUAAUUAGAUUAAAUCUAAUUAUUUUCCCCAUCGGUCAAUAAAUAAAUUAAUUCCACAACCAUCAAAUGCAUGUUUUUUUUUAAAUAUGUCUGUAAUUAGAAUGCUAAAUUAUAACAGUAGUAUUAAAAAUAGCCCAAUCUCACAAAUCAUCAAUUGAAUUUAAGAUAAGUAGAGUUUUAUUAUUAAUUGAGUUAUAAUCUCUAGUAGUUAAGAUUUUUUUGUACUUCAUUAAAGUACCAAUAAUGAUAUUCAUCAUUAAAUCUUAUUAUUUUUGGUAUUUUUUAAGGUGAAAUUGUAAUUUUCGUUUUGGGGGUAAAAUGGUCAUUUUUUUAAGUUUCCGUUAGUUUUCUUAACGGAUUCCAAACGGAAGUGGAAAAGUGAAAAAAAAUGUAACUUUAGGUGGAUUCCAACCAAAAAAUGAAGGAAUUGUGUAUUUUUGAAAAAUGUGUAAAAAACAGGUGGACGGUGGAUAUUUUCCCAAAAAAUAUUUAAGGUAUUAAUUCUUUUGGAUUUUCAGCCACUUGCAAUCUUGCAUUGCCCAAAUCAUUAUCUCAAUUCAAUUUGCCCCUUCGUUAACAGUAAGGUUUCGCACACGAUCCAUGCUCUUGAUGAUUGACCAGCAUACAUAUCUGAUUUCAUGAAAACUUUUUCUGAAUGAUGGAUUCCAUCCUAGGACGCAUCGCUACAUUACCCUUCCCAAUACGUUACACGGUUUUAUCAUUUAAUGAUCACAUUUUAAUCUGUAAUUUCUUCCAAGACAUUUCUUUGCGACUGAUACUACACAAUCCCUAAUUGUAUUCCCAUCAUACAAGGGUCGUCCAUCCUUUAAAGAAGAAGGGGGGAGAAAAUUAUGAAACUUAUUAAGUAAUUAAUUAGUAGAAAAUCUUGGGGAAAAUACUUCAAAAAACAUAAAUUGUGUAUGACAAGAAACAACCAUGCAUGUUUAAUCUUUCGCAAGCAGAGCUCAUGUAUCAACUUUAAACAUAAGGAAAACAAUUUCCUUGCAAAAAUAUGAAUGAAUCUACAAACACCUGAAAAAGUUCCACCAAUCAAUGCAGUUUACAGAUGUUAUGAGACACAUUCAAUCAAUUUCCCUGACUUCCAAACUUCAAUUUAAUGCAAUCACAGUCAUCACCCUCCUAUCCUUACAAUAGGAUAUGAAUUUCCAUUUAUUGUAUAUUUAACUGCAGUGCUAGACUCUAUUGUUUUGGAGAUUGUCUGCAAAAGUAAGACAGAUCAUUCUUGUUAAUUUCCCUGGAUGAUCAGCUUCUUUGGUAAAAUAACUCUCGGGCUCUAGCACUUAUAGCCGCUGAGACUUCAUAUAAGAGAAAACACAUAAUGGUGAAGGUAGACCAAGGAAAAAAAUGCUAAUGGAAUUGAGCAAUAUCAUGAGAACCACAUUGCUUUCCAUAAUAAUGACUAGGGGCAUCAGGCAUGAUCAAAAUAACAGCAUGGCAAAAUCUCACCGCCAUUUAUAAGUCAUCAAUCAGUGUGAAAAUAAGAGACAGGAAGGAAGCAUGCACCUUUAAGAUAAACAAAAAAAAAAAUACAUACAUACAUAUAUAGAUAUAUGCAUAUAUACAUAUAUACAUACAUACUAAGAUAUAUAUACACACUCACUCACGCACAAAAUAGCUCAUUCUCAUCAAAGUUUCAGGAACUAGCAUUAUCAAGAUUAUGCUCUCAAUCUCUAUGCUUAGUCGUAGAUAUAGAACCAUGUAAAAAGCUAGCCCUUCCAAACUAAGUCCAAACAGAUGACAAAAAGUGAACAUCGCACUGCCAACUGGCAAGAAACUUGGUCUUCCCUCUUAUCUUAAAAAAUACAAUGUUGCCACGUAACCCAAAAAAGAGCUAGAACACUGCAGUGCCAGAGAACUUUAGCUUUCUAUCCUUGCCCAAAAGCAAAAACAUUUUCCAUUAGCAAAGAGCUACAAGAACUCGGAGCAUCCCAAAAUCAAUAACAUGAUUGAGAAUCAAUGCAUGUAUCCACAAACAUUUAUUUAGUAGACAACUGAUUCCCAAACCAAUUUUAAAUUUCUGACAGACUUAAUUCGUUGCCCAAAUUCUACCAAGCUUUUCAGUUAAUCUGCUCAAAAUACAAUCCACGGGUGCAUUUAAAUAAAUUGGGUUAUUUAAUACCUAUAAUCUUUAAAACCUCAUCAAAUUGCUAUCAAAAGUAAUCUAUACCAAACAAUCAACACAUGAGAUACAGGGCCUUUAGACAGAGAAAACACUGCUGAAGAAAAAAAUAAAAACCCAUAGAAGCACUAAAUACUUCUCCUAAUGUUAAUAAUGGAACAAAACAAUAUCAUAGAACACUCAAAUAUACUAUUAGAGGAAUAAAUCCAUACCAAUGAUAAGCUAAAUAUGAAAUUUUUCUAGAAUUAAUAAUUCUUCAAACAAAAAAGCACAGUAAUUAUCUGCAUUUUAAAUAAUCCAAAAAAAAGGGCAAUGACUUAUUUAUUUCAUAAAAUAAAAAAAAAGCUACAAACACUUGUUUUUUAAUCUAUUUUAUUUCCAGGCAAGAACGACAUUCUUCUAUUCUUUCUUCAACAAGAAAACAGGUUAUGUUACAGUCACUAGGCAGUAGGCAAAACACUCGAUAACCAAAUACAUAAAAGGAAAUAAAAAAGAGUUACAAAAUCACAAAAGUUAAAAUUGAAAAUACAAAAAGAUUAAAAAAGAAACUGCUUUUGAAAAAUGAAAAUAUCAAACCCCUUCUUCAGAACAAUUCAAACAGGGGGCUGCGGGUUCUUAAUCUAACAGUAAUUAAAAUUCCACUGAAACCCCAACCCUCUAUUUGAUUUUCCAUUUUUUUCCCCCACAAGAAUUAUUUUCAACAUAGAACUUGAGCUUUGGAAGUGACAAAAAGAAAAGACAUAGAUGAGUGACUGAGUCUGACUGAGAUAGAGUCGUCAAUAUACCACACUGGUCAGCUCUCAGUUGAAUUUGUGAGUUUGGGUUGGAGUCCCAGUCCCACAGCCCACAGGUAGUGAAAGUAGGUAAUUAUCCUAACCAGCUAAUGUAUCAAAACCUGUUUGUAUAAGCCUGCACAUUACAAGUUACUCAUAAGCAAAGGAGGGGGCUGCAACGAGAAACAGCACAUCAUGUCCUAAUUAUAAAACAUGUAAAAAUUAACAUAUUUUACCAGUCACAAAACCCUUUUUCUUUAGAGAUAAACUCCCCAUAGCAACUAUAAAUAUGGGAAAAAAAAAAUGACCACAAGGUAGAACAGUCCCUUCUUUUUCUCCAAACAAAUACAACCAUUUCAGUUCACACCUAAGCUGAGAACCAUUCUAGUUCCAAUUUUCAACCAAUGAAACAACCGUAGUAUUCUCAUAAAAAUAAAAGAAUGAAAUAACCAUAGAAUAAAAUAAUUAUACUCUAAUUCAAAUAUUGCUUCAGAAUUUAUGAUUUAUGAUAGACCCAACUGGUCAAACCUACAGAAUUGGAUUAGGCAUUUAUUUGACCCAAAAGGUGAAUAUCAAGCUUAUGGUUCUUACAACACUGAAAUGAUCAAAUUUCAUUCAUUCUGAACAUGAGAUGCAAAGAAUUAUUUCAAGUUAUUCGAAGAGUAAGCAUUAAAAGAAAUUUGUUCAUCCUACGUGGUAUAAGUAGUAUACUUAAGCUAGUAUUAGUGUAUUAUGCAUCAUCGGUUAAAUCAUUUGGAUUAUUAACAUUGAUUUAUAUUUUUUUUAUUAGCUGAAUUGAUAACUGUCGCAUCCCUAACUUAGAUGCACGUGUGAUAAGAAAAUUUUAUCUACAUCAGAUGCAAGUACAAGCUUUUAACAAUUAAGCCGUGACUGUUGGCUUACAAGAACGAACAUAUACUAAUAGAAUGAAUAAGACCCAGCACUUACAGAAAAAUUUGACAUUAUCUGCCCUAAAAUGUAAGAAUCCCAAAUUUAACACAAUCCUAAACUUGCUGCAAGUUACAGCAGCAGCAAGGAAACAAUUAAGAAAACUAGGUGGAAAAAAAAAUUAAUAAAAGUAAGAAGAUUCCAAAAUUGAACCACUCAUGCACAGAAACUUACCCAAACCAAUUCUAAAGAGUAAGAGUUAUGAGAAAAUCCAGCGAAAUCCACGUUGAUUUCCCAUAAAUUUCAUACUUGCUGUUGUUCUCAGCUCCCUUAAGUGCACAAUUAUUCUCUGUAAAAAUCAAUUGCUUUCUUUCCCUCCAUUUCUUUUUCUUCCUCUUCUCUCUUCUUUUGUUUUUUUCCUCGUUCUGUCUCUGUUGUAUUUUUUACCGCUUAUUAUUAUUAUUAUUAUCGUCAUCACCCGAACGUUGGUUUUGUUUGUUAUAGAACUUCACAAAAGAAUAGAGAGACCUUAUAAGUUGGUUGUGGGCUGGGCUUAGCUACAGAUUUUCUUCUCAAAAACACACACACGCGCGCGAGAGGAAGGUGGUGUUUAUUUUUUUAUCUGAAAUCUGAAUAGAUCUGAAUUAGUCUGAAUUCUGAAUAAAUUAUCUGAAUCUGAAUAAUAUAUUUAUUUUUUCGUCUGAAUCUCAAAAAAUAAGUAUUAAGUUGUUUGUUUUUUUCAACUUAAAAAGCUAAAAAUAUAUACUUUUACAUUUGUAUCCUUAUUAAAUUUGAAUGUCAAAUAAAUAAUAUAUUAAAUACCACAAUAUUUUAACAUUUAUAAGUAAAACUAUAUUCAAGUGAAUAAAUAAUUAUUUUAGAAUUUUAAUAUAUAAAAUACCAUAAAAUUUAAAUUUUAUUGUAUAUAAUAUAAGAAAGAAAAAUAUGGAUAUUUUUAUGUGGGAUAAAUGUCUAUGGGUGAGUUUGGGAUAGACAUGAAAAAUAAAUUAUAAAGUAAGGAUAUUUUUGACAUUAGCAAGUAAUUGACUUAAUUCAGAUUUCUCCAUUAAGUAAAAAGCCAAAAAAAUUGGCUUAUUUUAUUAAGUCAAAAUUAUCUAAAAAGUCUCAUUAAGUUAUAAAAACAAACACCUCUAAUUAACUUAAUUAAUUAAGUUAAGUCACUUUAAAUCAUUAAAUUAAAAAAUAAACGUCACCGAAGUGAACUUAGAAUUACUUCCACUUCUUCAAAUUCUUAGUUAUAAAUAAGGCAUGAGUGAGUUUUGAUAUAUUUAAUGAGAUGUAUAUUUCUAGAUAGUUGCGGUUCAUCAACGACCGCAUUCACAAACUGCAGCAGCAAUACGUGAUCAAAAUUCCAAAUAUAAAGCCCUCCUAAAGAAUUCACCACCUAUUUGGCUAGAAAUUCUCCAUUACUCAUUGUCACAGUCUCUAUUUUCACCCCUUUCAUCAAAACACAAGCGUUAUUUACCCAUGUUUAGAAAAAAUAAAUAAAUAAAUAAAUAAAAAUUAACUGACUUCAGCAUAUAAAUUACAGCAAGCGGUCAAUUCACAAAAACAAGGAAAAUUAACUCAAUCAAAGUGAAGUAGGUCACAAAAUGACCUCAAUGAAAUAUCAGAGACCUCUAAAAUGGAAUCCAAUUCAGUUAAACAAAUAAUCACUCAUCAAUGAUGAGCAGAAGGAAAAAAGAAAAAAAAAUUCUUAUAAAAAUUCAACAAAAAAAAAGGCUAAUCUUCCUUUUUGGUUAAGUGAUUUCGUCAGCAAACAUGGCAAAAAUAGAAAUUCCAAAAUAUACCUAGGGUUUCUAGCUUUGGAAAUUUACCUUACAAGUGGGCUUGCUUUUAUUUCAUAAAAGAGUGAGACUAUUGUCACCUCUCUACAAUCCUUAUAAAACCCCUUUCCUAUUACAACGAAAUUAAAGGAUCUCUAAUUAAUCCCCGACAUUUUCCCUCUUUACAAGUUUCUCUCUGAACUCUUUACACCACACAACCACCUAUUAUUUUCUUUUUCCUCAUAAGCAAUUUACACCAUAAUCAAUGUGAUUCCACUAACAAAAUCUCAUUCUUAUCAAUUUCCGUUUAUAAGCUUAAUCAAUAAACCUUUUUUUUUCUAUUUAUUUCCUAGCAUAUCAACCUUUUUUAUGUGAAAAAAAUUAAAGCUUUUUCAUUGGGGUCCACUUUUAACCUCUAAUUGAUUUGAUUCAAAUAUGUACAAGAUUUUUUAUUUUCUAUAUGUAUGUAUGUAUGUAUAUGUGUGUGUGUGUGUGUGUGUGUGUAUUUACCUCACAAGAAACGGGGCUGUCUGUUUCUAGCUUUGUAAAGUUACUAUUAUGGACGAGCCACUCCGAUAAGCUGAGAUGAUCAGAUUUCGCACCAGCAACAAUGAAAUUGUUUGGGUUUGGGUUUGACGAUAGACGGGGGAAUGUUUAGGGUUUUGGGUGAUUUUUUGGAAUUUUUUAUUGAAGUGAAAAUAUCAAAAUAACCUUUACACAUUAAAUAUUCAGGGUACUUAAACAGUUAAAUUUUUCUUUAGAAUAAAAACAGAAUAUAAAUUGAGACUCAGAAUUUUAUUUUAUUUUAUUUUAUUUUUUGAGAGAAAGUAAUACUUUUGAUUCAAUGGACUUUUGAUCCAAUAGAAGAAGCUUUGCACUUAUAAUAUUAAGUGUAAGAGUUCGAACCUCCAUAAGAGCAUUAUGAAUGUUAGUUUCAGUUCUUCCUUAAUUAUUAACUAAUUGAGUGGAAACAGUCUCUCUCUUAUAAAAUAUGAGUGGAAUAGGCACUUCUCGAAUAUUAGAGAGGAACAAUUUGUGUAUAUUAUAAUUCAAAAAAUUUCAUGAGUAGAAUAGACACCCCUCGAAUAUUAGAGAGAAACAAUCUCUAUAGUAUACAUGUAAUGCAUGAUGUCCAUCAUGUAAUUUUUUAUAAUUAUUAUGUUUAAAUCAUGUGUUGUAAUAUCUUAAUUAGUGUAAAAAUAAUGACAAUAUAAAACUUUUUUAAUUAAUGCUGAUACUCAAAUUUUAUUAUCGUGUAAUUUUUUAUAAUUAUUUUGUUUAAACUAUUUGUGGAAUGGUUGUGUAUGUAUUAGUUAAACAAUUACUUUUUAUUCAUAAAUAUGACUUAAAUAUUUAAUAAAAACUAUUUUUGAAAAUGAUAUUACCGAACACAUAUUCACUGUUUUUAUCCUCUCAAAUGUGUCUACCAAACGCAUAUUACUGUUUUCAGUUUUAAAAUACAAGAUACAGAAAAUGAUACCAGAUGCAUAUUUAAAUUUGAAAUACAGCAAUUGCAAAACACUAUUUUCAUUCUCAUUUUUAUUUUCAGAAAAUACAAAUUCAAAAACAAUACCAAACGGACCCUUAAAGGAUCUCUAAUUAAUCCCCGACAUUUUCCCUCUUUACAAGUUUCUCUUUGAACUCUUUACACCACACAACCACCUAUUAUUUUCUUUUUCCUCAUAAGCAAUUUACACCAUAAUCAAUGUGAUUCCACUAACAAAAUCUCAUUCUUAUCAAUUUCCGUUUAUAAGCUUAAUCAAUAAACCUUUUUUUUUCUAUUUAUUUCCUAGCAUAUCAACCUUUUUUAUGUGAAAAAAAUUAAAGCUUUUUCAUUGGGGUCCACUUUUAACCUCUAAUUGAUUUAAUUCAAAUAUGUACAAGAUUUUUUAUUUUCUAUAUGUAUGUAUGUAUGUAUAUGUGUGUGUGUGUGUGUGUGUAUCUGUAUAUGUGUGUGUAUUUACUUACAAGAAACCGGGCUCUCUGUUUCUAGCUUUGUAACGUUACUAUUAUGGACGAGCCACUCCGAUAAGCUGAGAUUAUCAGAUUUCGCAGCGGCAACAAUGAAAUUGUUUGGGUUUGGGUUUGAUGAUAGACGGAGGAAUGUUUAGGGUUUUGGGUGAUUUUUUGGAAUUUUUUAUUGAAGUGAAAAUAUCAAAAUAACCUUUACACAUUUAAUAUUCAGAGUACUUAAACAGUUAAAUUUUUCUUUAGAAUUAAAACAGAAUAUAAAUUGAGACUCAGAAUUUUAUUAAUAUACCGCUGUUCGUUUGGACCAUAAUACAAAAACCAAAAUAAAUAAGAAUAUAGAGGGUGUGUGCUACCGCUGAAAAUGCUUUUCAAACAAAAGCGGAAAACAGCAACUAAGCUUUCACAGACUAUAUAUGUAUAGAUCAUUGUAAUAACUAACUAGAAAAUGGAAAGUUAGCAUAUAUUCAUAAAACACUCGUAGUUCUACCCUAUGUUAUUUUAUUAGGCACUAGGACCCUACAGUGGCACCAGCAAAAUCAUACACGCAUAUAUAUAUUCUCAUCAUCAUCAUCAUCACUAGAACUUGGCUGCAGGGUUUGGAUGUGGAUCCCUUCUACUUCAAUAAUGUUCUCUUCAUCAACUUGUUCUGGAAUUUCUUGAUCCCCGUUCACGCGGUAGAUCAUGAUCAAGAUUGUGCGAGUAAUGGAUGUUAUUACAGUGAGAUUUCGAAGCCAGUUGAAGCAGCGCUUAAACAGAGAAGCUAGCGUUGCAUAACAGAGUGAUAAGAUUAUGAGGCACAAAUAGGCUACCAAGAACAGAGACGGAGCCAAAAUGACAGAGGCCACUACUGAGACAGCCAACAGAACUGAGAGUUCUCCACAACUCACGGAAAUGGGGCGGCUCACACUGAGAGGAAUUCUGAUGGGUGUGAGGAGGAAGAUCAGUAAUGGGAUGACGACGGCAGGGAUCAGGAACCAGAACUGGAGCUUUAAAAUUGGAUACAAAAGUAUCUUACUUGUACCAUCUUGGAUGUCCCAAGAGUUCCCAUCUUGAGACCUGAGGAACAUAAAGAAGAUUAUAAAAUUUAGCAAUGGUAGAAAUAAAAACCUCAAAUCAAUUGAAAAAUUCAUGCUUGUGAGUAUAAGAUUUGGCAGGUAUGACUGGGUUUAAUUAGUACGAAUAAGAUUUGGCAAUGGCAGAGUUGAAAAAAAUGAAAGAAAGAGAAAGAAGAAGAGGGACUAGGGAGAAUCUAAGAAUUAGAUUGAUUUUUUAAAAUGCGGCGAGUCUGAGGCUUUUAUAAAGGUUGAGGAAGAAAAGUUUCUGAGUCUGUACGCACCACCAAUAAUAUCGUUGCAUGAUUUUGUAUCGCCAUUUUUUGCAAAAUGGUUCGAUACUUGUUUUUCUUUUAUUCCGUACAUUUUUAGCUCUUUAAAAGGUAUUUUCAAAAAGUGUGCACAAAAUAUGUCUGAGUGAAUGAUACAUGUUCCACUAAAUAGAUGCAUGUAACAAAUUAGAGCCAUUCAUGACAUACAAACAAAACUAGUGUCGGAAAGAAAUAUACCAAGGCCAAACUACAAUUACGUGUAAUUAAGCUACCUUUUUUUUUUCAUGUUAGUGUGACCAAAAUGAGAUUUUGUACAACAAAUAUAACUAUAUGGAACUAAAUAAUGUAAUUAUAAAUGCCAGCCAUAUUAUAUGUAUAAGCUUUCCGUGCCAAUAUCACUAGUGGCAUGACCAAAAACACCUACAUACACAAUAAUCUCUCAGAGGAGAGAUUGUCAAUUUUCCUCACUCUAAACCCAGAUUAAAGUAAAUUACAGAUUUUGUAGCUUAAUAAGACCCGGUUAAUACACACACAUAAAUAUUUUAUGCUUACAGCACAAUCAAUUUUUGGGCUUUCUCUUACACAAAAAUUAAAUACUAUCCAACCCAAGUGACUUAACAACAAAGUCAUACACAAAAUAGAAUCCUGAUUCAGAAUUUAUAGUUUUUGACGAGUCACAAUUUGUCUUGACUUUGUGAGCCGGGAUUACCUCUGAUGUAAUAUUAUUGAAUAUAAAUAUAAAAGAUGCUUUCAAUUUUCUAGUGGCUAGGCCACGAUAUUCUGGAGUUUGUGCAUGAAGGUUGAGGUCACCUCUUAGCUUUUAUGUUAGUGUGUUACGUGCAUUUUGUGAUCGAAUUCGUCUUGACUUUGUGGUCCAACUCACACACUUGGGCAUUUUGUGUCGGCCAUUUCUGGAUGAUGGAUUUGAAUUUGAACCUACAAGGCAUCAGCACUUGUCCCUAAAGCCAAAGGGUGGAAAAGGAAAAAUAUUCAGAAAGUAUGUAUGAGUGAAUGAAGAGCUUUUGAUUUAAAGUGCGCACAUCUCGUAUUUUAAGUCCUUUUUGUCAAGUUAACUUUGGUUUCUUAAGAGAUUUAAUUUGGCUAUUGACUAGACAUUACUUUCCAAUUUCUUCUUAAAAAACGUUGGUCUCUUAAGAGAUUAAAAAAUGAAAAUUAAAUUAUGGACGGAUAAUAUAGGAGGCUUCUUGGCUCGUUCCCAAAAAUAAAGGGAAUGUUGUGCUUGGUUCGAGAAACACGCUUCUAUCUGAAAUAAGAGAUACAAAAGAGUAGUCUAAACUCUAAAGCAUCCAAUCAUGCACCACUUAUUCUAACACUGAACAGUAAAAUGAUUUGACGUGGAGUCUUCGAAGGCAACAGUUUUUUCAAUUUUAUAAUUAGGCAAAUACUAUGUUACAAUUAAUGUAACAUACACAUUCAACAACAACCACACAAAUUAUAUGGGUCUAUUAUUUAUAUGGUUGUUGUUAAGUGUGUAUGUUAUAUUAAUUGUAAUAUAGGGACUCCCAAAAAAUAAUUUUGAUACAAAAGCAGGCUGCUUUUAUUCCAAUUACGUGAAUGGAUUUUGUCCUUCAAGAAAGUUAAUCAAGAAAAAAUAAUAUUCUAGUUGCAACAGUGGGGCCACCUUCAGACGUUACCAUUUCACACAAACUUGUGCAAGUCAGUGCUUUCACUUUUGAAGACACUAACUGGUACUGCCGGUUCAACAUUGGCUACACGUACAUAAGCAAGUGAGUCCAAAAGUUCUUACCCAUCAGUCAUUGCAAAUGCAAGAUGAUCAAUAGCAAAAAUGUGCGAGUUUUACACACUUUAGUAAACCAAAAGAAGAGGAAAUUUGGAUAAUGAGGAGCACUCGUAGGUAGACAAGAAAGAUAGCUUAUGAAGCACCAGUUCUUCAGAUAAGCUUCAGAAUGUCUCAACUCAGGGUAUGAACUGAAAUUGUUUACCUACAGUUGUUUAAAAAGACGGACACUGAUAUAUCAUCAAGAGAAAUAUAUCAACUAUACAUAUAUAAUUGCAAUACAGGCGCAUCCGAUUAUCAACAAAAUCACAUUGUUUGCUGAGUACACAUGUAAUAUACUCACUCAAAACACCCAGUACACACUGCACUCAACUAAUGCCCCUUUUAAGAGUAAUGAAGGGGGUUGAACUUAGAUGCGGAGGAGUCGAAGUGAAUAGCUUGUUUUCAAUUGGAUUCAAUGGCAUUGGGCUGGCAAAGACAGUAGGUUCCUGCAUAAAAGAACAAUGCAAGUUAGUGAAAAAAAUCAGUUUAAAAAUUUGAAUUUACCAAGUAAAAGCAGCAUACACUUCAACCUGCACGUCAGUGCUUUUACUAGAAGGGUUGUAAUUCUCCUUUGAAGCCAAUGCCAUUACAGGUUCCACCAUGGGGACACUGCUAU